UUGUAAGACAGGUUUAGUGCUUCCAGGAAAGUUAGACUUGUAAGUUGAGGAGGAAUCUUCCCGGAAAGUUUGUUCUGCGAGAGGUCCAAAGACUCGAGGUCUUUUAGGUUCUCAAGUGCUAAUGGAAUUUGGCCAGAGAAGCUAUUUUGGGAUAAGUUUAGCACUUUUGAGUGAUUUGAGAAAUUGUAUUUCUUCUGGUAUUCUCCCAUGGAAACUAUUGUUGGAAAGGUCAAGACAAGUAAAAAUGGUUAAGAUUUUCUUAUAAAACAAUUCAAUCCCUUUAUUGACAAUUGUCACAGAGUCUUGAUAGUACUCCUCUCCAAUAUAAUCUAGCUUAGCUUUGUUGCCCUCAGUAAUCAACGUCAUUGCCCUCAAACAUUGCAAAAAUGUGGUGGAUAAGUCACCUGAAAAGUUGUUGUAAGCAAUGUCCAAUAUCCGUAGCAUUGGAAAACUACAUUCCCUCUCAAAAUUCAUAAUUGUACCAUAAAAUCUAUUUGCUCGUAGAAUGAGAACCUUCAAGGAAGGCAACUUCUCCAACCAAACCGGAAAUGUGUCAUGAACCAUAUUGUUUCCAAGGUCUAAAACCUCAAGUUUUGUGCAAUUGGCUAAUGAUCUUGGCAACUUCCCUUCCAAUUUAUUCCCACCGAUUUUGAGUGACCUUAAUUGAGUAGCUUGAAGGAAAUCAAUGGAUAGUUCACCAGAAAUUUCAUUAGACGCAAUGUCAAGUACAUCCAACGCCAGAAAACCAUUUUCAUGUUUCGAAUGUUUAAUUUGACCAUAAAAUCUAUUCCCUUGCAGUAUCAGAACCUUCAGUGCAGGCAAUUUUUCCAACCAAAAAGGGAAUGUAUCAUACAUCAUGUUGUUUCCCACAUCCAAAACUUCGAGUUGAGUGCAUUUGGCUAGUGACUUCGGCAACUUCCCUUCCAAUCUAUUCUCACUAACUUUGAGUGUCCAUAGUCGGGUUGCUUCUGCAAAAUUUGGUAAGAUUCCGCUAAAGUGAUUUCCUUGAAGGUCCAACAAAUCGAGAGUACUGAUAUUGCCUAAGCAACCUGGAAUUGUGCCACUCAAAUUGUUAUAAGAUGCAUUGAACAGAUAAAGUUGACUCAACUUGCAAAUAGGUCUGAGGAAAGAGCCUUGUGAAGAAGUUAGAGACUGAUUGUGCAAAAAUUGGUCCAAGGAUGAGAGAUGAUUGUUAGAAAGAGACAAAUAACCCAAACUUUUCUUCCACAACCAGUUUGGUACUGCACCACUUAUUUUGUUGUUUGAAAGGUCAAGAUAUUCUAAAUUCUCUUGACUCUUUAAAAACUCUGGAAAUGUACUUAUAUUACAGGAUCUUAAAAUCAACAACCACAGCAUUGGAAACGAAGAGUUUGCAUCACCAAAGGGAAAUUGUUUUGGGAAAUCAAUGGCAUUGAAAGAAAGGUCUAAACGUAGAAGAGUGGUCUUCCUCAACCAAUUAGGCACAAAACCUUGGAUUUGGUUGUGAGAAAGAUCUAGAACAGUCAACUUGCCUUGUGUUUUGAUGAAUUCUGGAAAUCCAGUAAAGUUGCAAGAUCGUAGGUUAAGAUAAUCUAAUUGAGGAAUAGUAAAGCUUUUGUUGUGGCUUUCAAUUGAAAAGGAGGAGUUUGCUAAUUGGUUGUAAGAAAGAUCUAGAAAAGCCAACUUGCCUUGUGUUUUGAUGAAUUCUGGAAAUCCAGUAAGGUUGCAUGACCUUAGGGCUAACUCCUCCAAUUGGGGAAAUAUAAGGCUUUUGUUGUCGCUUCCAAUUAACAAGCUCAUAUUGGAUAGAUCGAGAGACCUUAAGUUCUUUAGUUGAAAGAACAUGUCAAGCUUCAUAGAACCAAAGUUGUUAUAGCCAAUAUAAAGUGAUUCAAGCCGUGAGAGUUGAAGGAUUGAGUUAGGAAUGGAUCCAUUUAAAUAAUUAUCGCCUAAGCUCAAAUCUCGCAUCACCGAAAAGGAUGCAUUGGGGAACUCAUCAAUUUCACCAACCAGUUGAUUUCCUUCAAGAGACAAUGUAUGUAAUGAUGGGAGAGUAAAUAAAGAAGAAUGUAUUGAUCCAGAAAGCCGGUUCCCACCCAAAUUGAGAAUUGCAAGAUUUGGAACUCCAGAUCUAUGAAAUGGAGGGGUUAAACCACUGAAAUUAUUAUCUGAUAGAUACAGUUCCACAAGAUCAGUAAGAUUUGCAAGUGAUGAUGGAAUGGAUCCAGAGAAAUAACAACCACCAAGAUCUAAUUUUGUCAAUAACCUAAGAUUACCAAUUGAUUUUGGUAAUUCUCCGCUGAAAUUCGUCAAGAAUAGUGAUAUGACCUGUAAAUUGUUGUUAAUCGAAAAUUCUGGCAACGGACCCAUGAGAUUGUAAUUUUGUGAAAUAUCAAUGCUUUGCAUUUUGGGCAGUAAGAAAACUUCAGUUGGAAAAUGCCCACUCAAAUUGCAAUACCUUAGACUGAGAGAAACCAACCGAGAGGAACUUUCCAAGAAAUUGAGAGGCAAAUAAGAGAUUAGGUUAUCGUCAAGGUUAAGUUUGGAAAGAAAAUGGAGUGUGGAGAAAGAAGAACAAAGUGGACCUGUCAAACCACAAGAUGACAUGCUUAACACAUGUAAAUUUGGAAGUGUUGACGAUAUGAUUCCACACCAUUUUGUACUUUGAGUUGAAAUGUUCACCCUAUCCAAAUAGAGCUCUUCGAGAAACAUCAAAUUCUUGACUAAUGAGUUGAAAGUUGGUUUCUCUAGCUUUAGAAUAGGAUAAUAACCAUCAUCAUGUGAAUCAACAAUUUGAUAAUUUCUCCAAUAGCAAUAAUCUUGAUUAGAUAGAUCAAGAGACACUAACCUUGUUAAGUGUGAAAUUGCUAUUGGAAUUUGACCGUGAAAACAUGAGGCUGAGAGAUUUAAAUGAGUCAAAUUUGGGAGUCCUUCAAACUCAUAAGGAAACAGAGUGGUAUUAAAAUUGUUUUCAGCAAAAUUAAGGCGUUGAAGAUGAUGAAGAUCAAAAAUAGAAUGAAAAUUUCCUGAAAGGUUUUUGGAAUUAAGAUCGAGGCCAAUAACAUAACCAAGACCAUCACACGUGACUCCUUUCCAAGAGCAAUAAUCUGUUUUGAGAUCCCAAAGCUCAAGUUUGGAAGAAAAAGUAAAAUUAGGAGAAAAGUAAAGAUCUUGCUGCAACUGAACCAGAGCAGAUCUUUGGUCAUCAAGGCGUUGGCUUUGGAUACUUGUUUUAGAUUGCACAACAGGUAUGAAGGAGCAUGAGAAGAGAAAGAAAGUAGGCAAAAAGAGUGAAAUUAGGAUACGAAGAGGGCUCAUGUUUUCUGUCUACAAAAAUGAAGGAUAGGUUGUGGAGUUUCAUAUUUCCAUACACCAUAUUUAUAGACUACUACAUCACAUUGUAUUAUAUAUCCUUAUCUGAUUAUUAAUUUUAUUAUAAAGUUAUAAAUACAAAAAAAUUAUAAUUAUAAUUAAAUAUUAUAUUCGUAUAAAAAAUUCUGAUUUUCAUUAUCUUCAACUUUUGAAUAAUGAAAUGAGAUAAUAUAUUCUGAUGCAACGUUGCUCAAAAGCUAAUAAAGUAACAAAUUAAUAUAAAACACUUAAUGUUUUUCAUUUAAUCCUCGAAUAGGUAUACACGUUCUCAGCUUUAACCCAAAGAGCACUUCUAAAUUAAAAGGAAAUAAAAAAAAAUUUUGUUAAAUUUCUUGUUGGUUGAGAAGGAUUGGACGUAAGGUUGAAGGAAUAAGACACAAAAAAGUUGGCACAGAGAGUGAAAAUUUUGAUGAUAAAUUAUGGGAAUUCUUGACUUUUAACACAAUUUGAAGCAACAUCAUUGAAGAAAUAGAAUAUCUAAAUUUGGUCUUCCAAACUUCCUUGACAAUAAUUGGAGUGAUCUAUACGAAUAUCUUAUAAAAUUGGUGACUUUUCAAUUCUUCAGGAAAACUCCUUGCAAUUUCAAAUUUCUUUUUCUUCUCAAAGUAUCAUAAACCAAUUGAAACGUAAAAAGAUUAAAAAAUAUGGAACCAAACAAAAUUUUUUUUAAAAAAAAAAACAUUAAUAAUUUUAUUCACAGGAUCAAAUUGUUUGGCACAAAAAAUCCAACCAAUUAAUAAAUUAUUCAAGCAAGCAUAAGCAUACUCAAAUCAUAAAUCAUUACCCAUACAAAAGAUAAUAAUUUAACAUAAUUCGAUACUUAAUUUAUCUGCAUCCAUCGAUAAAAGAAAAGAUCUAUUACAUAUAAAAAAUUACAAAUAUACGAUUAAAUCAACCAACACUUACAAUCAAUAUCUAUAUACCCUUUUAUUCUCAUUUAAUUCUAAAAAUUACACUAAACCCAAACUAUAAAUAUUCACACACCCAUAACCUUUUCAUUCUCUUCUAAUCAUAUUAAGUGUAAUCAAUCAAACAUUAGCACCUAAUAGUACUGCUAUUAUUUUCCUCUUGUACUAUGAAAUAUAAUCAAUUAUAUAUGCAUACCCAUGAGUACUCUCCCUUGGCCCCUUGAAGAGUUUAUCUUGGAAAACACUAUAAUUUUUUUUUGUAUAUAUUUUUCUUAUACAUAACCUUGUUAAAACUCACACAAUAUAUAAUAUUUCUAACUUAAUCACAAAAAACUCCUUUACUCUUAAAAUUUUUUUCUUUCAAUUUUUUUCUUUCAAAUAACAUAUAGUUAAUCUCGAAAAAUUCUCGAACAAAUCUCUUAUUAAAUUUUUUUAAUGUUUAAGUCAAUAUUCUUAAUACAAAUACCCUUAUAAUUUGUAUGUAUAUAGUCUUAAAAUUGAACAAACCUUUUAACCAAAAAAACAAAAAGAAACCAAUGAGAUUACAUGGUUUUCUAAAAAAUUCCUAAACAUCCUAAAAUAAUUAAAUCCUGAGAAUGUAUAAUAAUUCAAUCAUCUUAAAUAAUUAACAAUUAAUUUUCUAAUGAAAAAUUAGCAAUUAAUUAUUUUCAUGUAUCUCAACUACAACCACAAAUCAUUUUGUGGAAGUUUAUAUAUAAAACUUGAGAAAGCACAUUGAAAGAGUGUAGAUGUUGAUGGUAGUAAUUAAUUUAACUUGUUGACUAAAUUAUUAUAUAUAACUAAAUUUCCAAUUUUUGAAAAGAAUAGGAUGAAAGAAAAACUUGAGAAUUUAGAAAGUAUUUUUGUUUUCAAAGUCCUUAAACCAAUUGACACGGUAGAACUAAAACCUUAAAGAUUUAAAAAUUGCUUGUUUUUCAAAGUCCUUGAGCCUAUUAAAACGAUAGAAAAAGAAUUAGAGAAUUUUCUUAGAAUCCAAGAAAAUUCUUUUAUUAUACCAAAUUCAUAAUAAUUUGUCUUAGUCAUGUCAUUCAAAGGGAAAAAAUUAGCAAUAUCAAAAGAACCCAUUUUGCCUUUUUUUUUUUUUUUCAAUUAUGAACUUUGCAUAAGAUAUGCUAUGUAGAAACUCUCCAAUCUUCCUUUUUUUUUUUUAAUGCUUUUGAUUUUAUAAGUUUGGAAUAAGUCCCAAAAAAUAAAAAUAAAAAUACAGUUGCUAUAAAAGAUAUAAUUAAAUUAAAAUUAGUUUUAUAUUUAAAUCUAAUGGAAUUGUAAAUACCAAUUAUCAAUAAAAAGAAAAAAGAAAAAACUAAUUGACUAGGAAUUUAGGUUCUGAUAUGAAAAAUUACAAUUAUAAUUAAAUAGUAUUUUGUUAUAAAAAUUUAUUGAAUUAAGUCAAACAAAUAAAUUAACAAAUGAACCAAAAAAAUAAUUAAACAAAUCCAACAUAAAAUUAAAUCAAACACACAAAUAAUAAAUAAGACUUAAUCUUUUGCUUUAAACUUAGUCAUGUCAUCACGCUAAUAUUUUAGUCUUUUUUGUGAUUGUUACUUCACAAUACUAAUAAUCUAAGAAGGUGCUUUAGUCUAAGUCAAUUAAAAACACAAAAGUAUAGCAAUAAAUUUAUUUUUUCUAGCAAGCAAUAAACAAUAUACUUAAAAUUUAUGAAAGACUAAAUCAUAAGUACUAAGUUAAUAUCUUAUUUUCAUUGUAUUUAACUUUUUAAUUAAGAAAUGAGAAAAUAUAUUCGGAUAUAACAUUGCUCAACCAGUUAGUUUGAAACAAAAAUCAAUAUUAAACUAAUAAAUUAACAAAUUAAUAUAAAAUUAAAUAAAGCAUACAUACUUAAUUAGAGAGAUUAAGAGAGAAACUAGAUUUUUGUUUUUUGUUCAAUCCUCAAAUAUGUACAUAAGUUCUCAGCUUCAACCCAAAGAGUACUUCUAAAUUGAAAGGAAUUGAAAAAAAAAUUGCAAGUUUCUUGUUGGUUGAGAUGGAUUGGACAUCAGGUUAAAGGAAUAAGAUAAAAAAACUGGAAAUUUUAAGGAUAAAUUAUGAGAAUUCUUGACUUUUAACGUAAUUUAAGACAACAUCAUUGAAUGAAAAGAAUAUCUAAAUUUUGAAUUCCAAACUUCCUUGAAGCCAAUUGGAGUGAUCUAUAGGAAUGUCUUAUAAAAUUGGCAACUCUUUAAUUCUAUAGGAAACUCCUUGCAAUUCCAAAUUUCUUUUUCUUUUCAAAGUUUUGUAAACCAAUUGAAAUGCAAUGAGAUUAAAAAUUUUGGACCCAAACAAAAUUAAAAAAUAUUAAAAAUUUUAUUCAUAAGAUCAAAUUGUUAGGCAUAAAAAACACAAUCAAUUAAUAAAUUAGUCAAGCAAGCAUAAGUAUGCUCAAACCAUAAAUCAUCAUCCAUAUAAAAGAUAAUGAUUUAAUGUUUAUUAAAUGUAGAGACUUACAAAUAUACAAUUAAAUCAACUAACACUCACAAUCAAUAGCUAUGGACUUUCUCAUUUUCCCUUAAUAUUAUGAAUUCUCAACCCACAUAAUGGUAAAAUUUUUUAAUCCUAUUUAGACUCCCACUAUACAUAAUACCUCUAACCCGCUCAUCAAAAAUCUCUUUACUCUUAAAGUUUUUUAUUUUUUAAAUUUUUUUAUUUAUCAAAUAAUAUAUAAUCAACUUUUAAAAAAAAUCUCAAACAAAUUUCUCAUUGAAUUUUUUUUUAAUAAUUAAGUCAAUAUUCCCAACGGAAAUACCUUUAUAAUUUGUAUGUAUAUAGUCUUAAAAUUGAACAAACCCUUUAACCAAAGAAGGAAACCAAUGAGAUUACAUAGUUUUCUUUCAAAUUCCUAAGCAUCCAAAGAUAAUUAAAUCCUGAGAAUAUAAUAAUUCAAUCAUCUUAAAUAAUUAGCAACUAAUUUUAUAAUAAAAAAUUAGCAAUUAAUUAUUUUCAUAUGACUCAACCACAACCACAAAUCACUUCGUGGAAGUUUAUAAGAUUUGAGAAAGCACAUUGAAAGAGCGUAGAUGUUGAUGGUAGUAAUUAAUUUAACUUGUUGACUAAGUUUUUUUUUUAUAAAUAACUUGUUGACUAAGUUAUUAUAGGUAACUAAAUUUCCAAAUUUUGAAAUAAUAGGAUGAAGGAAAAGCUUGAGAAUUUGAAAAUUGUUUAUGUUUUCAAAGUCUUUGAACCAAUUGACAUGGCAGAAAUAAAAACCUUGAGGAUUUAAAAUUGUCUUUUAUCAAAGUCCUUGAACCAAUUGAAACGAUAAAAAAAAAUUAGAGAAUUUUCUUAUAAUUUGAGAAAUUUUUUUAUUAUACCAAAUUGACAAUGUUUUGUCUUAGUCAUGUCAUUUAAUGGGAAAACAUAGCAAUAACAAAGGAACCCAUUUUGUUUUUUUUUUUUUGUUCAAUUAUGAACUUUGAUAUGCUACGUACAAACUCUCCAAUCUUCCAUGUUCUUUGAUGCUUUUGAUUUCAUAAUUUUGGAAUAAGUCCCAAAAAAAUUUAAAAAAAAAACAGUUGCUAUCAAAGAUAUAAUUCAAUUAAAAUUAGUUUUAUAUUUAAAUCAAUUGAUGGACAUGAUAUGGAAAGAAUAAGAGAUGAGAAAGCAAUUGCCAUUAUGGAAUUCUUAACUUUCAACACAAUUUUGGAACAACAUCUUGAAGAAAAACAUAUCUAAUUCAACUGAAAUUAAGAUGAAUUAAUGAGGCAGAGACAUGCUAAUGGAUAUAUUCAAGAUGUCUUAUAAACUAUAAUAUAUAUUGUCGACUUUUUUAUUCUUCGAAAAAACUAAUUCUAAUUCUAAAAAUUUUUCUUCUCAAAGUUUAUUAAUCUAGAAGUGGCAAAUGGACGAAUUUAGGUAGGAUUACAUUGGAUUUUUUGUAUUCAGAUAAGUUGGGAUUUGAUUUUAUUUCAGAUAUUGAUUAUCUUAAAUCCAAACACUUUCAAAUUUGGAUUUUUUAGUUUGAAUAAUUUCAGAUUUGACCGUAUAAGAUUUAAAUUUUUGUUCAAUCUUAAGUUCGGAGAGAUUUGGAUGAGUUUUGGAUCAUUUUGGAAUUUUAUAAAAUUUAAAUUUUUUUGUAAAUUUGAAUAUAAUAAUGAAUUUCAUUUUUUACAUAAUCGUCAAUGAGCUUAAUAAAUUUAAAAUAAAGAUGUAAAUAGUACUAAAGUUAAAUUUUAAAAAUUGAUAAAUAUUUAUAUAAAUAUAAAAUAUAUUACGAUCAUAUAUAAUAUUAUAUUACAAUAUACAUACAAACCUACUAAGAUUUACUUACGUGGACAUUUAAGUUGAUAAUUUUUCUGGAUGACACAUAGGAUAAUAAUAAAUAAUCGUAAUUUAUAUUAUCAAAAUAAUCAAAUACAAAAACUUUUAAACUAAAUCAUAAAAUAAUAAAUAUUCAAAUAUUAAUUUGAAAACAGAUAAAAAGAUAUGUGAUUAUUUACUUUAUUUAAUAUUACCAUUUAAAAUAUUCAAAUUUGUUUAAAUUGAUAAAAGCAUACAUGAAUUACUAUUUAAAAAUUUUGGUUUAAGAACUUAAGAAUAUCCAUCUUAAUACAUUUUAUAAAUCUCUAGUUAAAUAAGCAGAUAAAAACAUCCAUUUAAAUAAAUGGAUAAAAACACGUUCAAUUAUUUAUAUUUUAAUAUACUUGAUGUAGAAUUGAAAACAUAAUAGAUUUUGGCUAUUCUAUUCUAUCAAAAACUCUUUUCUUUACUCCUUCCAUUCAAGAUUUCUCCAAAUUUUUUAUCUAAAAGUUUUCAUUCAUAUUUCUUUUUCAAAACUCUCUUUCCUCCCUUAAAUUUCCUUUUUUUUACUUUCUUUUUACAAUGAUUUAUAUGAUUUAUAAGAAUAAACAAUGGAUCUUUUCAAAAAAUAUAUAUAUAUAUUUUUUGUUAAGGUAUGUGAUUUAAUUUUAAAAAGGUUUACAUUUGUUGAUUUUCAUGUAAUUAUAAUUAAUAUAUAUGCUAAACUCUAUUAUAUUAUGGUGAUAAAAAUUUUAAAUUGGAGCUUUUUUAUCAUUCUUUUUUUUUUUGUUAAAUGAAAUUUUUUGAUCAUAAGUACAUGUAUGCAUGGAGAAGAUAAAUGUUUAGGGGAUUGAGGAAUGGUUUACAAUCUGAGAAUUUUCUUUUUCCUUUUUCUUUUUCUUAUUUAUUUUCUCUUCUCCUCUUUGUCUAAGAUUCCUAUAAGGAUUCAAUUGAUUGUAAUUCAAAGAUUGAUUGGUUCAAUUUUAUAGUGUGAUUAAAUUUCAUCUAAAUAUGGAUUAAAUUAAGUCAAAAUAAAAGACUAAGAACACAAUUGAUUGCAAUAAAAUAUUAAAAUUUUAAACAAUUUUUUCAUUAUAAUUUAAAGACAUUUUUAUUUUUAACCUAAAAUUUUGAAAGUCAAACACUAUUUUUACAUUAAAUAAUCUCUUCCAUAAGUUUGGCCAAACAUCUAAUAAAUUUUUUGUCAAUGUUUAUUGAGUUUUUGUAUAUAUAGAUUAUAUCCAACAAGUGCUAUAAGUUUAUCGAUUUUUGUUAUUAAUUUUAUUUCCAUUUAAUAUUUUAAAAUAAAAAUUUAUUAGCUUCACAUAGUAUUAACCAUAAACCUCAACAAAUUAGAAAUAUUGCUACAUGCGUUUAUAAAAGGAAAAAUAAAAGUUAAUUGUCAUCAAACAAAAAGAGAAGUCUAAGAGAUUGAUGAAAUGAUUAUUUCAUUUAAUAAAUACUCCGAAUAUCAAAAUCUUACAUUUAUAAAAAUUCAUUAUAAAUUAAAAAAAUAAAAAUAAUGAUCAUUAAGAAAAAAGAAAGCAACUGAGUAUCAACAGAACGAUAGCCAGCAUUUCUCCAUAGAUGUUGCCCAUUUGUAUCUUGUAGAUGAAAUUCCCCUUGAAUGAUGAUCUGAGCUCUUGACAGAUAACAAUUUCAAUGCAGAUUUUGAUAGCGGCCAACCUUGAGACACCUCAAUAAAUGCAUCAAUGGCCCCGACCAUGUGAGCUAUGAUGGUGUCAUCUCUCUCUUAGUACUCAAAGGAAUGCCUACACUAGGCACUAUUCAAAUGUAAAAAGCUUCUCCUUUUGCAAUUUCUUUCAACUUUCCCCCAUUUUUGGUGGGUGAACAGAAAUUAAAAUAUUUUAUAUGACAAAGGAAAUGAAGUGCACAAUUGACCAGCUACUUUAAACCUUUUGAAAAUAUUAUAUCAUCACUGUGAAGACUUUACCUAUAUGAGUCUUACCUUGAUUUAUUUGUACUCUUCACUAUAAAUCGUCUGAAAGUACUUAAGAUAAUCCUAUCCUGCACUUUUCCCACAAGCCACUCCAGUGAAGACCAUGUCUUCUGUGCCAUUAAGUUAGAGGAUAGCUGCCUGCAACAUUAUAGUAGAUUAUAUACCUUAAAUAAGGAAUUCAAUCAAGGUCUACCUUCGUUAAACUGGAUAAAAAAAAAAUUAUUCAUGACAACUGCAGGUUUAAUUAAGCUACUAGCCAUCUCUACAUGGUGGGUUGAUUAAGUUUCAAGAAAAAUGUGCGUUUAUAUAAAUAAUAAAUGUAUAUAGAACAAUGACUGCAAACAUCUCAGUAAAAGGUGACAAAAACUACAUACUAUGAACAGUACUUUUAACACAAAAACAACAAGGAUAAUUGAAGCUUAUACUUAAAGGUGACAGCCUGGGAAAACAGGAUCUGCUAUGAAGAGAAAGAAGAUAGGAAGUUAAAGGUUCAAAUGAGCCAAAAGAAGGACAAACAGGUUUCUGUUCUAGUAAAAAAAACCUACCUUUCAAUAAAAACUUAGACUGAAAGUCUGAAUGAAGAACUUUGGUUUCUGAGAGAUGAAUUAAUAUGAUGGGACCAUAAUUUGAUAAUACCCUCUAAAUGAUGGAUAAGUUGAUGUAUAAAAGAGGAUUGAAAGGUUUUAUAUAGGGUGGAUAGCAGCAAGGUUGAGAAAAGAGACGCAGGUAAUUUUAGGUUUGGAAGCGCCUAAGACAUUAAAAAUUGAAAGAAGAAAGGGGAUAGUCCUUCAGAGGACUUCUUCUUUUGCAAGAAAUCACAUUUAGGAUUCAAUCUAUUGUUCUAUAUAAAAACUAACAAAUUAUAUUCCCUUUAAAGGCCUUAUGCUACUAUACAUAUACACAUAUGCAAAAAUACACAUGAUAAAUUGGGAUUCAACCUUGAAGUCAGAAAAACUGAAAAACCAAACAUUAAAGACUUUGCCGCAUCAAUUAUAUCACCUAUGUAAACAUCAUUUGCGAACAUCUGGACAACAUGAUACAUGAACAAGCAUUUCAAAACAAUUGAACAAAAAGACAUGAAGAACAAAUAUGAUUCUUCUUUUGCAAGCAAGUACAGGUUUUCUAAUGCCUGUUUAACUUGAGCCAAAAAAAAAAGACAUGGCAUGAGACUAAUGAAUGAAAAAAUUAUCAUCCAAAAAGAAAUAUAUGAUAGUAACUUUUGUGAAAAUGGUUUUGACACCAAAUUGUUUUUUUCUUUUUCCAGUUUGAUUGCAUCAAAUGGGAAAGAAACUGAAUUUUUUGGCAUUCUUAAAACCAAUUUUUUCCUUUUCAGUUGUCUUCACAUUAUUUCAUCAGUGAGAUUAGUUAUUUGUCAAGUAUGAUUAUUUCUCCAUUGAAUAUCAAAAGUUUAAUUUCUUUCUUUAUGAGAACAGAGAUAAAGAAAAGAACAACAGAUUAUUUCAGGUUUUUCACGAAAAAACAUUUAGUCAUACCUCAACGUUCUUAACCUCCGUGGUUCCAUCCAUAAUCUCUACUAGCAAUUCAUAAUUCAUUUCAGAUGGCUCAGCAAUAUCUUCAAUCAUCUUUUGGAACAAUUCAACCUCUACUUUUGGAAUAUAAAUCUGUAAUGACAACCUAAUGCAGUUUCCAUCAAACCCAAUGACUUUCAAACCAGUCAAUGCAUCUUCAAUCUGGUCUAGGGUAUCUAAUCUGAAAAUAAAAGAAAAAGAAAAGAACGUAGUAAGCAAAAAGAUACUGAUAUAGAACACAUAUAACCAAAGCAAAAAUAAGUGAACAAUCUUUUAAACAUAGAAUCAAGAUCUUGCAAAGACUAAAAAAUUAAAUUGCUCUUCUCAAUCUGACUUUCUAGUUCCAAAAUCUGAAAAGCAUAAAUAGAAGAAUAUUGGAUGUUUAAUGAAAUAAAAUAUGUAAUGCCACUUACAACUCAAAGAAUUUAACAUACAUUAUUAGCAGAUAUACAUAAUUAAUAUCCUAAUUGAAUAUAUCAAAUAUCUGGAUCAUUAUAAAAGAGCUAGAACUUAGUCAUCAAAGAAAAGAGACUCUUAUAAACAUGAUUAUAGAGCCAAAAACCUAUGGCACAAUUAUUAAAGUUCAGCCAUCAGCUAGAAUCUAAUGCAGUAUUCAAGAAGCAAGUGAGAAGAAACAAAAGCACCUCAAACUUUUUCUCUUCAUUUGCAUCCACCAAAUUCAAUUGAUUUUUAUAGCAGGGGUCCUCUUCUACUGUCUCCAGACCCUAAAACACAAAAUGUAAAAAGGCUAACUGUUAAAUUUGACUUCCAAAUUGAUUUCAAACUGAAUACCUUUCAAGCCAUUAAGAUUGCUUCACAAAAUGAAAUAACAUAGGAGAACCAACCUGAGAUGCAAUAGAAUCCAAUGCACACUUCAAGCCGUCAAGAUUGCCUUCCAGUAUAUUUGUUUCUGUAAAAAUAGAAGUCAAACGUAAAUCAGCAGAAGAAAAAGCAUUUAAGAGUAAUUACAUGUGAAAAUCAAACCUAAGCCAAUGAAGCCUCACCUUCAAUAUGAUUUCUUGAAAGAUCCUCAAUUUCCUUAGAAAUCUGGGUACUUUCAGCCUCUACUUGAUUAAGCGCCUCUUUCAAGUGUGCUAAGUAUUUAUCUGUAUGAAUAAUUAAAAAAACACCAAUCCAGAAUCAGCACAACAUCGCAUUGCAGGCAUACAGAUGUUUUCCUAUGAUGUGCUAGGCAUUCAAGUGUGCUAGAUAUUCAUCUUUUAGUUUCCUAUGAUGAGUCACUUUAUAAAAUACUUACAUUUCAGGCAAUCACAAUUAGAAGAAUAACACCGUAAACAUGUUAUCCGAAAGAACAUCAAAAACUUUGAAUGGAUCCUAAACUAUCAAAUUCCCUUCCGUAUCAGAAACCUUAUCAUUAUCUAAAAACCCUUUUAGACUCCAUAUUCCACAAAACCCAGAGAUUUUUCCCCAAAAAGAAAAAGAAAUCCAACUUUGUUUCUAAAACUCAGUAACCAUAACAUACAAUCCGAUUAAAGACUAAAACAAGCAAAAGAGGCAGUUACUUAAUACAAUACCCUCUUUAAGUUCAAUUGUACAUGUAUAUAUGUAAUUGAUGUUAAUAAAAAUUAACCAAAAAAAUCUAAAAUAUUAAAGGAAACAUACUUAAAUCUUCAAUUCCUAAGAAACCCAAGUCAGAAUACUCUUCAACAAUUUGCUUCACUUUACUCUGCAUAAACCCACUCUUAAGUCUUAAUUCAAAAAAAAAAAAUUAAACAAAAUAUUAGAAAGUAAUAUUGAGAAUCACCUCGAAAUGAGAAGUGCAAUCUUUGAGCAACUUCUUGGAAUCCGAAGAGAGAGCUUCACUCUCAACCUCAUUUUUAUUGCUACUAUGAAUCUCCGAGAUCUCAUUUAUUCGGCUAAAAACAAGAGAAAAAAAUUAAAAUUCAAAAAAAGAUGAAGAAGAAGAUUAUGUACAGCAAGUAGCAACUUACUUAACGGUAUUAAAAAGAGAGAAAAAGACCUGCAAAGAUUGAGAGAUUGCGAUAAAGAAGAAAUCUCCAUGGGCUCUGCCGUUGUUUUUGUGUGUUUAAAUGAAUCAAAUCUCCUGCCUGUUUGAAGGUUGGUCGAGUUGUUGAGUCGGUGGCAGAGGAGGAAAUAUGUUAAAAUUGAAAGGGGAAAGUUGAGGAUAUUUAUUUGUUUCGGCAGGAAAUGCUGGGGUUGGGCCCACUUUGGAAUCUACAAGUAGGCCCUGUUUACAUCUCGACAAUACUAAAUUGUUCAUGAGAAAAUAAAAAUAAAAAAGUAUUAUUUUCAACUUUUUAGGUAAAAAAGUUGCAAAAAAGGAAAAUCAAAGUAUCCCUUUUGAUUUUGGUUAAAAUAUUAAAAAAACACAUGAAUUAUUUUAAUUUUUAAAAUAAAUUUUAUAUUUUCAUUAUAUUCAAAUAAAUUUUUAUUUUUAAUUUAUCUAAAUAAUUCUUUAUUUUAAAUUAAAUAAUUUAUCUAAAUAUUGAUUUGUAUAAAUGACUUAUUUAGAUAUAAAUUAAAAGUUAAAAAUUUAUUUAUAUAAAAAUUAAAGGUUAAUGAUUUAUUUAGUACAAAUUAAAAUUUAAAAGUUUAUUUAAAUAUAAUAAAAAUAUAAGAGUUUAUCUAAUUAAAAUAAAAUGAUAAAAUUUAGAGUUUUUUAUUAUUUUAACCUAACAACAAAUGCAUAUAUUGUCUUAAAAAUUAUAAUUUAAUCUUCUUUUCCCAAUUGAAAAUAAUAUAAAAAAUUUAGGAACUUUAUAAGUUGAUGAAAAAUUCAUUAAUAAAUAUAUAAAAGCAAGAAAUGGAAAAAUUAAGAAUUUACAAGUGCACAAUACCAUCAUUUAUUAAAUUUUGUUUAAUUUUUCUCACAUUUUUUAUUUUAUCAGUUGAAUUAAGCUCAGAUUACUUUCACUUUGAUCAAUGAAUUAGUCUAAAUUAUGUUUAAAAUAGAAGUAACAUUUAUUUAGUUAGAAUUGUGAGACUUUUAAAUUCCAAUAGCUAUUGUCUGUUGCUAUCAUGAAAAUAUUUUAAAGCAAUUCAAUCAUCAAAAUGUUGCUAUCACUCAAAUUAGACUUUACAAUUCAUAUAUUUUUAUUAUAGACAGUAUUAAUAAUUUGUAUAUUUAUCUCAUAUUUAAUCCAAAAAUUACAUAUCAUUAUAAUUUAUUUUUUAUUUUUAUUAAAUUCAUGUUUAAUUUUUAUUAAAAUUAAAUUAUAUUUUUUUCGUAUUUUUUUUCAUAUCAUUUUCAUCUAUUAUUUGUUAUUUUUUAUAUCAUUUACGGGGUAUUAUUUUAAGUUAUUAUCUAAAUAUAAAUUUUUUUCUGGUUUUGAUUACAAAUAGCUGAACAACUGGAUCUACCCUUUAUGGGUUUGAACCAAGCCCUAAGCUUUGUGUCAUUGGCCGAACUCAAUGUCUAAGCCCGCAUUGUUUUAGAAUCUAAGCAUGCAUUCAUCCGAUAUUUAAUAUUGAUCUACUUGUCAUGGUUCACACUUUUAUGAAAUAUUGUUCGUUCUAAUCUUUUUGAUCUCACGAUUUUAUCCCACAAAAAGGGUUUCAAUAUGUGAACCGUUAUAUUUCAAGAUCAAUUUUAGUACACAAUCGAUGUGGGAUUCUUGAUUCUACUUCAAGACUGUGACAUUUUCUCUCACUUUAAUGGAGGCCUAUCGUCUUUGGUGGCACGUUACUGAGGUCCAUCGUCUUCGGUGACACAUCGCUUGUACAACUAGAACUGGCUCUAAUACUAUUUGUUACGGAUCGAAACUCAACUUUUAGCCCCGCGAGUUUAAGACUCGGACAUAUAUUUAUUUGACGUAUCAAAUUAGUUUUAUCUGUUAUAGUUCAUACUUUUGUAAAAUAUUAUCUGCUUUAAUUUCUCUACUCUCAUGAUUUUAUCUCACUAAAAAUGUCUCACAAUGAAAAAAAUAUGUAAAUCUUUAUAUCCCAAUAUAAACUCUAGUAUAUGACUAAUAUGAGAUUCCCGAUUCUAUGCCAUGAUCGUGGCACUCUGGCUGGUUCUAGGGAGUGUUGAAAACUAACAACUAUUCAAAGAGUAAAGGAAGAAAAAGCAUUUCCAUACCGCUUAGAAUGAAAUUUAUAAACAGAACAGGGCAAUCGUCUCAGUGGAUCAACUAAGUUGACCAAAUGGAAAGGCUGCCAAAACUCAUACUCAACAAUGGCAUGAUUUACAGGUUAAAUACUAUUACACAUUGAAGAGUCAGUAUUUCGAAUUCGAGCAUCUAACCAUAACACUUAAAUGUAUGCAUCUUAAAUGAAUGCAAAACGAUGCAUGAUGGAAAAUGUUAGAAGUCGAGCACAACCUAACUGGAGAUGCAGUAUACAUACUCUCUAAAGAAAACAGCAAAAAUCCACUCGGUCCUUUCUCGGUAUGCAGUGCAAUCUUCAAUCGUCCUGUUUCAAUUUUAAAUGCUCCAAAUCUGCGAAAGCUUGCACUCAAGCUGUGUCUCAUUUUAAACAUCUGAGCUUCUUCGCUGCAUCAGUGAUACUCUGGCUUAUCUCGGGAUGUUUGGACUGGAGCAAUUUCUCAAGUCUAAAGGUUGCUUCAGGUAUACAAUCCUUCUUGAUGUAAGACUCCGAACAAAGACUGAAAAAUGACUAGGUUGACCUCUUCCUCAAGUUGAAGGCAAAAUGAGUGGCUAAAGACCUGAAAGGUGGACAUAACAAUACAAACUGCCAAUCAGAUUUAUGUGGAUAUGUGCCAUAUAAAUUUAAUAAUCAUGGAAGAAUGCAAAAAUUGUUAAUACUAGGAAUUACUAUUAGUUUUCUAAAUUCCUAAAUCCUCUUCAUAAGUUUCCUAGUUGAAAAAAAAUCACGAUAGAAAUCAAUCAAUCAAUAGCAACAAAGUCAAUUUUAUCAAAAUCGACAGUAGUGGUUAACUACAUGGGAAAUAGCAGACAUUCCAAUCUUGGAACCACUUUAAAAACAGUAUUGCACUAAAUAAAUAAUAGUAUUUAUAAUAGAUCUAGUAAUUUAUGUAUUUGUGUUUGUCUAUUUUUUAUCAAAUAUAUGUAAAAUACGAAAAUCAUAAUUUUAUAAUUCGUGUUGAUAUACUAAACAUGAAACACAUUUUUUUUGUCGAAUCUAUAUAUGAUUUUUGCUUUAUGUUGUUUUUAUGUCUUUUCUUAUAUUGUAUUAUCAUAUCGUGUUUAAAAUUAUCAAAUUUAAUUUUUUAAUUUAUAGUCACCGAAGAUUUUGAAUUAAGAGAAGUUGGUGAAAAAGUUAAAGAUGAUAAUACAGUAGAAAAAUAUUAGUUAAAUUGUAGUCAGUUCUAAAAUUGAGGAUUUAGAGUUUAGUUUAAAAGAUAAAAGAAAAGGACAUAUUUUCACUUUACAUUAUCUACUUUUUGGUGACACAUAUCUGUAUUAUGUCAUUACCCUAGUUUACAACUUUACUUUUCAUUCGAAUAUAAACUAACCAAAUGUGUUUCAUUCAUUGAUGUUUUGCUUCAACGCCUGCAGCCAUGAACAUUUUUAUUUCUUAAUUUGUUUAGUGUUGUAGUUGGAAGAUUCACUUCUCUGUAUGCCAUUUUAAAGGAAAUGCAUUCCCUGUCAGAUGUUGGGAAAAUUUUAGAUUAUGCAGUGAUGAGUUUUUUGAGAUAACUGUUGCUGCAAUCAUAUACGUAACAUUUUUUAUAAGUAUUUUUUGGAGGUCAUGCUUGAAAUUAUUGUUGCUGCAAGCAAGUGCCUUGCUAUAUUCAUUCUGAUUUUUAGGGGUUUUUUUUUUGCUCAAAUUUGAGAACUAUGGGUUUCAGGCAUUAAGAAUUGAGGGUUAAGAUGGGUUUUUGUCAUUUUGAUUCUUGGGAGAUGUUUGAGGACUGGAAUCUAGGUGAAAUGAGUUUUAUUUGCAGAGGAAAAGAUGGAGAAGGUUGAAAAUUUCAGGAAACUAAAACAAAAAAAGUAAAAUAAAAGAGAAGCGAGAAAAUUAGUGAAAUCCAAUUGUUAAGCUUUCUACGUAAUGGUUUGACAGUUGGAAUCAGAUUUAGACAAAAUGAAUGAAUAAAAGGAAAAAGGGACGUGAAAAUGAAAGGAAAACCUCAAUUCAAUUUCUUAAUUUGCUUCUUCUGUACAUUUAUUAACAUUCAAUUGGCUGACUCCAAAGUCCAAUUGAAUCACUCUCAUAGCUCUGCCUGCAUGGAGAUGAUGAACCAAGCAAUGUCCAUAAUUGGCGUCUCUCAGGAAAAUCAACAUUUUGAUGUUUCCUUAAAACCGCAUCAGUUGUAUUCAACUUUCUCGUAAAGUCUUCAUCUCUUAGGAAGUUACCUUCAGAGCCAAAGGCUGCAGGAUCCAAGGCAGUUCAAGGAAUCUGAAUUGGGUGUUGUACAAAGCAUUGAAAUCAUUCCCUCGAGGAGUGGGGAUUUGAAGCCAUGAAAGUGAUGAACUCUCACUUGUUGGAAUAGUUCAAAAUUUUCUACAUUAACAAAAGAAGUUAGUAAAAUAACCAUCCUGGUUUAUAGCAUUAUUCGAGAAAUCACUACUAGAGAUCAGACUAACCCAAAUGGCCAGUGAAUUGAAGAAUAGCAUGCUCAUCAUAAGUCUCCCAAAUCUAUAAUUUCUCGAAUGAAUCGCUUGUAAACAGUACUCUCUGAAACUUAAAGAUCAAUUCCUUUAUGAAAAAGCGCACUUCCAGUACUUCCUACAUGAACAUGGUACAUUCAAAAUGAUAUUAGCUUCCAAUCCCCUGAAAGUUUGUGUUAUAAGUUCACUCGGCACCGUGGUUGAAGUUUUUGAAAACAUUGUUACCUGUCGUAUGAUUUUGAAUACAUGCAUAUGUUAUAUAGUAGGAAAGCAUGUUGUCUGUAUAUAAACCAUUGUGAUCUUGAAUUACUUUUUGCAUAUUUAGUCAACUUCAUGCAUAAGCUCAGGUUUAAUUCACAAUAUUCAUAGAGCACUCCAGACCCGGUCCUUACCUUGAAUGUAGUUUGAUCAAAUAAAAGGAUUGCAACCAAGAUAACAGGGAGCUCAGUCCCCUGCAACCAAGAUACAGUUAAAUAUGAGAGGAAACAACAACAAACUAAGUCUCAUAUCCCAUAAUUUUGGGGUCAGACUGUAUGAAAUAUCAAAGGAGAAUCAUGUUAGGUUCUAAUUUUGAAUCUUCAUGCUUCACUCAUUUCAUAAUUAUGCAUUUAUCGGGAAAAACAUUUGGACUUUUUGCAAUGAUUUAAGAAUUAUACAUUUGUUGCUAUAUCAGAAUUCAAAGUUAUUCUUCCCAUAGAUCAAAUCAAUGUGCAUAUUUUGAACAUCUAUUAAAGACCUAGGGAAUAAAUUAUUGAAAGGAUUUACUUGAACUAGAUUUCAAGUCCGCGCUUCGCUGCAAGAGUAAUUUAGGAGCACGAGAAUACUGAUAAUAUGAAAAGAAAAGCCAGUUGCCCAAAGAUCUAAGCAGAAUAUAAAUUAUGUAAUCAGAAACAAAGAACCUCACACAUAUAAUCAAUAGUUCACCUCAUUAACCAAUGCUUCAUAUAUAUAGAUAAUCACCAUAAACAUUCUAUUCAAAUGAAAGAUCCAAACCAAGAACCACCAAGCAAUACUGCAGUAAAUAAACGACAUCACAAAUUGAAUCUACAAACUGUAACAGGGUAAUCAAGAUGCAGAACUAAAGUUUGAAUCUCUAAAAAUGCAGUCCAAACCAAAGACAAUUCAAUAGUAAACUAAAUUUGAGCUUGUGCUUUAAAUAAGACUCUUAAUUACACCCCUAAUUCUAUCUAAAUUAAUGUCAAAAAGAGUGAAGGUUGGGUAACCAGCUUACUUUAACAGAGUUCCCAACAAGAUUAGUAAUGAUCUGUCUGAAUCUCCCUGGAUCUCCUACAACUCUUUCAGGAACUUUAUCAGAAACAAAGACUGCCAGCUUCAUUUCCCAAAGAAUUACACCAUAUUUCAAUCAUUGUAAUGCAUCAGGAACACAACCAUUUAUUGACAUCAACAACCCACCGAAACAGAGAAAGAAAAGGGAAAAACAAAGGCACCAAGUUAGUUCAAGCAUUAUAAACCAGAAGGAUUUUUCUAUUUUGAUCAUAGUCGUCCCCAUUAGUCUAUAACCUAUAGGAACUAUCUAACAUAGAAAAACAUACUGAAAAUGAAGCAGUAGGUUUUAUUAAUCUUAUCUGGGCUUACCUUACCACCUUUGCUUCUAGACUUUUCAGAAAAUAAAGAGAGCACAUCAUCUAGGAUAGAUCGAAGGUCAAAGGGGACAGAUUCAAGCUCUAACUUUGCUGCUUCAAUUUUUGCUCGGUCAAGCACCUCAUUUAUCAAUGUUAUCUGCACCUUUCCACAAUCUUGAGCGGUCUGAGCAUAAUCCUUUUGUGUUGAACUUAAAUUUAUAUCUAAAAGCAAAGCAAUCAUCCCUGCAAACAUUCAAAAAGUCAGCAGAACAUUAGCGGAUUAAAUUCUGUUAAUGUCCUCGCAGGUAUAUUUUACAGAGAAAACCUUAAGGGGAGAUCUGGAAUAUACCAAGGAUGCCAUUCAUGGGAGUCCUAAUUUCAUGAGAAACUGUUACCAGAAACUGAUAUCAGGAACACAUGCAAUACUCCCAAGUCAUAAUUAGUUUUAUCUUGGAAAUGGGUGGUGAACCAUGUGUUGAUAUAGAUAUAUAUAUAUAUAUAUAUCUUGAAAAUCAUACCUGCGAUUUGGCAACAUCAGCAGCUUCUGCUCGAACUUUCAGUUCUUGCAUUUCGUGGAAAUCAUCUUCAACUUUAACAAUGUGCAUUACUAAUAAGCAGCUCACAAGAAUAAGAAUGCAGUGGUUGGCGCUGUCCAUGAUGUAGGUGCCUUCUGAUGAUAUCUGCCCAAAAUGCCAAAUGGUAAGUGCUUGCAAAAACAACUGCAGUAAUUCCAUCAACCUUGUGAAUAAGCAGUUAGUGAUACACUUACUUACAUAUCAUUUGAUUCUUCCUAAAUGGAUCUCAGCUUGCUUUCAGCAACAGAGCCAAGUCACCAUCUUGAUUUUGGUGACCAUACCUACUGCUUCCUAAGCAGCCAAGUCACUUUUGCUUUAAAUUCUUUUUCGCAUCCUAUCUUUGCCUGCAUUAAAUCUAAGAUUUUUAUCCAAUUCCCAUUUAAUGUUACUAUAACUCAAGGUAAAAAAAGGAUUCCAUUAUCUUUUCACUGCUAUUUCAUACCAGCCAUCUGGAAGACUCUGGAAUGAUAAAGAGUCCAAAGACUAGAAUUCAACAAGAAAUAAGUCCUGCAAUCACUCCACUUGUGAGUCCCAGCUUGUCUUAUCUAGCUUUAGAAACACACUCACACACACAGUACACAUGGUUUUGCAGAAGAAUGUUGUGAAUCCUUGUGCUUUGAAUAAAUGGAUAAGAAACUUUUUACCUGUUAAUGCUAAAGCCCUCCAAGUUAGAACUGCCCUAUUAUGAAGGCAACAGAUACCCCACUGCAGAUCAUAAGCUGUGGAAUAAUAUGAGAAAUAAUCAGAUAAAACUAUGUGCAUGUUUCAUUGUUAUCUAUCUUCUUUAUGCAUUUAUAUUGUACAUUCAGACAACUAACGACUGUUCAGAAAAUUAAAUUCACAACUUCAGGAAAUUGUGAUGAUGAUAAUGACUGCUGCUACUUGACAGACACAUGUUACCCGGUUUAUAGUUUCUUUGGUGCGAUUUCAGCAAUAAAUACUGGCACCUUGUCAUACAUUCAGAAUAAGAUGGAACAAUCAGAAUCAGUACAUGACUAAAAUAUCCAUGAAUUUAGGCAGAAAACAUUACCAGGAGAGUUAUUCUGUCACAAACAGCACGGUGCAUGACUAUGCCUGCAGCCACCGAAACAUUGAAAGAAUCCACCAUGCCUUUCAUCGGAUUACUUUGCUCCAUUAUUUUGAUCCUACAAACUACAAUCAGUUAUACAUUUUCUCUCCCAUUUUGUAUUUUACUAAUCAUGUGAUCCUAAUGAGUUAGGGCGCUCACAACAUUGAAACAUAUGGCUUCAAGCCAUGAAAUGAAUUCAAAAUACAAACCAGCAAUUAUAGAAGAGAUGUAAUUAAAACUCCUACGAUGUUCAAUGAUUGACUUGCCAACAGAUGUCUCCACUACUGCAUUUGUCUUCUCAACCAAUGGAGCUGGCGUCUCAAAACCCAUGUUAUACCACCAAAUCAACAAAUCAGACAUUAAUUAAAAAGUUAAAACAAAAUUGCACUGCAAAAAUUGGGUAUUACUUUGCAAUCAAGUAGGUUGACUUUGAAUAGUAGUCAUAUGAAGCAAAAAGGGGAAAAAAAAAAACCUUAAUCGUUCAAAUUAUUGGAAGAAUAAAAAAAACCCCAAAUCACUUCUUUCUCAAAUUAUUUACUAAACCCUAACCCUUCACCAAAUUACGUUCACUAAAUCAUCUUCUCCUCAACCUGAAUGAAAUGAGAAAGCGAGAGGGAAUAUAAUCUCAUUUAGUUGCAGGAGCGAGACACCCUAUUUCAAGCCCUGAGCUUCUGCUGAAGAUGAUUCACACCCUAGUUUGCAGACCUUGAUUUUGUAUUCGACGCCUGAUCAAUUUGUUAUCCUCUUAGCAAAUGUUUCAAGUUUUUAUUAAACAGGUGACACGCAUGCCUCCUCCUUUUCAGUUUUUAUUGCACUGUUUUUUUCAUAGAACCAAAGCAACGCGUUGAAUUACCUAUGUUUCUGCUUUUGCCUAUUGUGUCCUCUUUAAACAUGUACUAUCCCCACAUCUGCCCUCAAAUUGUUUUUUAAGACAAUCAAUAGCUGUCCACCAAAUCUGUGUUUGGGAACAGUUAUAUAUUGUUAUUGAUGAUAUGGAAGUGAAUUUAUGUAAGUGCAUCAUCACAAGCAACAAAGGACCUUUCGUCGCUCCUUACACAAUCUAUGUUGAUGCUCCAUAGUAAGCGACCACCUUUGGUUUUGGACACCUGCAACAAAUUUUUAUCAUACUUCGAGUCAUUUUACACAACGCAGUCUAUGUCCUCUCAUGCAAGGACUUGAAGUUGGGGGGAAAAGGUCAUUUACCUGUCACCGCACAUAAGAUGCAGCUGAAGCAGCAAUUUAAUAACUCAUAAGUUACAGAUAAGUAGAAUAAGCCUUUACAAAGAAUGUAUAACUGUAUCCUGGCAAUCCAUGCUUUCUUUUCCAUGGAAUAGGUAACAAACAGCAACCUGCAGGCCCUUGUAUCUUCUCAAACCAUUGGCCUGAAAAUUAUAAGAAUAAAGUUACUCCAUUUCGCUAGAAACAAUCAAGUUUUUCAUUUGCAAAAACUUAAUUCAUAAGAAGCUUUUAUCAUUUUCUUAAAAGCUAAAAUUAAUGAAUUAAUCAAGUCCACAUAACAAUUUAAGAAUGUUAUUCUUUCAAAUUUAGACCAUCACAAAAAAUUUUGAUCCAUUCAUACCUUUACGUUGUCAAAAGUUGCUUUGGACUGCCGUUAUUUAUUUUUUCUUAGUCAAGGUCUACUCUACAUUGACAUCAGCUUAAUAUAACACUAGAGGUUACAACAAAACAUUUUUCUUUGUCUAUGUGCGAAUGUAGAAGUGGAGAAACAAGGAAUGAGGUUGUACUCAAAUGAAGAAAAUGUUAAAGGAAAUUAUUAUGAGCUAUAAAAGGUUUGGGAAAAACCUAUCAUGGGAAAUAGAGAUUCAUACCUGGAUUUUUUCAUACAAAAUAAGCCAUGCCAGACAAGAAUGGCAAAAUGAUUUGGCUUCAAAGAAUGAUAAAUAGACCGGAUUCUCACUCCAUCUCCAUCUCCAUCAUGAUCAAGGACUUAGUCUCAAACAAUCUCAUUUGGUCUUCGUCUUUUUUGGUGCAUUGAUACAGCAUGUAUGCUACUAAUUUAACAACAAAGGAUCUUUGCUCAAUGUUGGUCUUUUAAGAUUAUUUGUUGUUAUGCCUGUCUCCUUUCCUUACAUACCAUAUCUUGUUUCUGGUUUCUCCUGCACUACAACAUUAUAACAAGAAAUUAUAACAGACUCGUUGAUAAUGAAUAUCACUGCUACAAGAACAAAUAUUAUAUGACACUGAGCUUUGUCAAGAGAGAAAAAAAUGAGGUUACAAAAUUUAAAGAAUAUAAUAAUUUGCAGCAACUAUCUUUUCAAUUUAAAAAGAUUUCCCAAGUUUCUAAAAGGAAUGCUUACCAGCUAUUUUGAAACAUGAAUUUUGAUGCUUCUCUUGUUCCUUUGCCCUUUCCUUUUGAAUUUGUCCAGUCAUAUGUUUCCGAACUCAUUCAACACCGUAUAUCCCAUACAUAAACCAAUAACCAAUCCACUACCAUAACCGAUCAAUGCAAUUUUCCAAACAGAUAUGCCAUCUACCCAUGAAUCUACAUCUUUCUUUGGAAGGGGCAUUGGAACACCAACUUCAUCACAUUUCCUCGACAAAUGCAGCCCACAUAAUCUUGGAUUCCCCUUGUAAGAAUCAUUUGAAAAUGUAUUGAAUUGGUUGCUUUGUGGUAAGCUCCCUUCAAGUUGGUCGUAAGACAGGUUUAGUGCUUCCAGGAAAGUUAGACUCGCAAGUUGAGGAGGAAUCUUCCCAGAAAGUUUGUUCUGUGAGAGGUCCAAAGACUCAAGGUCUUUUAGUUUCUCAAGUGCUAAUGGAAAGUGGCUAAAGAGCUAUUUUAGGAUAAGUUAAGCACUUUGAGUGAUUUGAGAAAUUGUAUUUCUUCUGGUAUUCUCCCAUGGAAACUGUUGUUGGAAAGGUCAAUACCAUUAAAAAUGGUUUAGAUUUUCUCAUAAAAAAUUUCAAUCCCUUCAGGUUCGUCCUGCACUGCGACAUUGUAAAAGGAAAUUUUAACAGACUCAUUGAUAAUGAAUAUCACUAUUACAAGAACAAAUACUAUAUAAUAGUAAAUAUUGUCAAGCGAGAAAAAAAGAUGUUAGGAAAUUUAAAGAAUAUCAUAAUUUGCAACAACAAGCUUUCAAUUUAAAAAGAUUUCCCAAGUUUCUACAGGAAAUGCUUACCUGCUAUUCUGAAACAUGAAUUGUGGCUAAGCAUGUUCUUCAUAUGUCUCCAAAUAUCUAUAAUUUCUUGAAAGAAUCCGUCAUAUACAAUACUAUUUACAGCUUCAGGAUAAAUUCCUGUAUGAAGAAGCACUUCCAGUACUGCCUAAAAGAACACAAUACAUUCAAAAUGAUAUUAGCUUCCAAUCGUAAUAAAAGGUUUAGGAAAAACCUAUCAUGGGAAAUAGAGAUGCAUACCUGGAUUUUUAUACAAAAUUAGCCAUGUCAGACAACAAGGGCAAAAUGCUUUGUCUUCAAAGAAUGACAAAUAGACCAGAUACCUUGAAAUGGAUUUUAUAAUCAUAUCUCACUCCAUCUCCAUCUCCAUCAUGAUCAAGGACUUGGUCUCAAACAAUCUCAUUCUAUCUUCUACUUUUUCGGUGUAUUGAUACAGCAUGUAUGCUACUAAUAAAACAACAAAGGAUCUUUGCUCAAACUUGGUCUUUUAUAACUGUUUUCUGGCGAUUCAUGUUUUCUUUCCCAUGGAAUAUGUAACAAACUACAGGCUGUAGGCCCUGGUAUCUUCUCAAACCGUUGGCCUGAAAAUUAUAAGGAUGAAGUUACUCGAUUUUGCUAGAAGGAAUCAAGUUUUUCAUUUCAUAAGAAGCUUUUAUCAUUUUCUUAAAUGCUAAAUUUAAUAAAUUAAUCUAGACCACAUAAAUAUUUAAGAAUGUUAUUAUUUCAAAUUUAGGCCAUCACAAAUAAUUUUGAUCCAUUCAUACCCUUUAGGUUGUUAAAAGUUGCUUUGUACUGCCCUCACUCUUCUCAAGAUUGGCAACUGUAUAACACUAGAGCUUACAACACAACGUUUUUCUUUGUCUGUGUGUGAGUGAGAGUGCAGAAGUAAAGAGAAAAAGGAUGAGAUUGUAUUAACAUGAAGAAAAUACUAAAGGAAAUUAUUACGAGCUAUAAAAGGUUUGGGACAAACCUAUCAUGGGAAAUAGAGAUGCAAACCUGGAUUUCUGAUCCGAAAUAAGCCAUGUCAGACAAAAAGGGCAAAAUGCUUUGGCUCAAAGAGGACUAGAAAUCUUGAGAAGGUUUUACAAUCAUAUCUCACUCCAUCUCCAUAUCUAUCAAGAUCAAGGUCUUAGUCUCAUACAAUCUCAUUCUGUUUUCAUCUUUUUGGUGCAUUGAAUCAACAUGUAUGCUACUAAUUAAACAACAGAGGACCUUUGCUUGAGCUUGGUCUUUCAAGAUUAUGUUGUUUCAGGUUCCUCCUGUACUGCGACAUUGUAACACGAAAUUAUAACAUACUCAUUGACAAUAAAUAUGACUACUACAAGAACAAAUAUUAUAUUAUAGUGAACUUUGUCUGGAGAGAAAAAUGAGGAUAUAAAAUUUUUAAAAUAUAAUAAUUUGCAGCAAGCUAUCUUUUCAAUUUAAAAAGAUUCGCCAAGUUUGUAAAGGAAAUGCUUACCUGUUAUUUUGAAACAUUAAAUUUGAUCCUUCUCCGGUUCCUUUUCCCAUUCCUUUCAAAUUUGUCAAGCCAUUUGUUUCCCAAUUCAUUCAGCACUGUAUAACCAAUACAUAACCCAAUGACCAAUCCGCUACCAUAACCGAUCAAUCCAAUUUUCCAGACAGGUAUACCAUCAAACCCUGAAUCUACACCUUCCCUAGUAGGGGACACUGGACCAAAAUCUACAUUGCAUUUCGUUGACAAAGGUGGCCCACAUAAUCUUGAGUUCCCUUUGUAAGAAUCAUUUGAAAAUGUAAUGAAUUGGUUGCUUUGAGGUAUGCUCCCUUCAAGUUGGUUGUAAGACAGAUUUAGUGCUUCCAGGAAAGUUAGACUUGUAAGUUGAGGUGGAAUCCUCCCGGAAAGUUUGUUCUGUGAGAGAUCCAAAGACUCAAGCUCUUUUAGGUUCUCAAGUGCUAAUGGAAUUUGGCCAGAGAAGCUAUUUUGGGAUAAGUUUAGCACUAUGAGUGAUUUGAGAAAUUGUAUUUCUUCUGGUAUUCUCCCACGGAAACUGUUGUUGGAAAGGUCAAGACAAGUAAAAAUGGUUAAGAUUUUCUUGUAAAAAAUUACAAUCCCUUUAUUAACAAUUGUCACAGAGUCUUGAUAGUACGGCUCUCCAAUAUAAUCUAGUUUUGCUUUGUUGCCGUCAGUCAUCAAAGUCAUUGCCCUCAAACAUUGCAAAAAUUCUAUGGAUAAGUCACCUGAAAAACUGUUGGAAGCAAUGUCCAAUAUCCGUAGCAUUGGAAAACCACCUUUCAUUUCGAAAUUCUGAAUUGUACCAUAAAAUCUAUUUGCCCGUAGAAUGAGAACCUUCAAGGCAGGCAACUUCUCCAACCAAACCGGAAAUGUAUCACGAACCAUAUUGUUUCCAAGGUCUAAAACCUCAAGUUUUGUGCAAUUGGCUAAUGAUCUUGGCAACUUCCCUUCCAAUUUAUUCCCACUGAUUUUGAGUGAUCUUAAUUGAGUAGCUUGAAGGAAAUCAAUGGAUAGUUCACCAGAAAAUUCAUUAGACGCAAUGUCAAGUACAUCCAACGCCAGAAAGCCAUUUUCAUGUUUCGAAUGUUUAAUUUGACCAUAAAAUCUAUUCCCUUGCAGUAUCAGAACCUUCAGUGCAGGCAAUUUUUCCAACCAAAAAGGGAAUGUAUCAUACAUCAUGUUGUUUCCCACAUCCAAAACUUCGAGUUGGGUGCAUUUGGCUAGUGACUUCGGCAACUUCCCUUCCAAUCUAUUCUCACUAACUUUGAGUGUCCAUAGUUGGGUUGCUUCUGCAAAAUUUGGUAAGAUUCCGCUAAAGUGAUUUCCUUGAAGGUCCAACAAAUAGAGAGUACUGAUAUUGCCUAAGCAACUUGGAAUUGUGCCACUCAAAUUGUUAUAAGAUGCAUUGAACAGAUAAAGUUGACUCAACUUGCAAAUAGGUCUGAGGAAAGAGCCUUGUGAAGAAGUUAGAGACUGAUUGGGCAAAAAUUGGUCCAAGGAUGAGAGAUGAUUGUUAGAAAGAGACAAAUAACCCAAACUUUUCUUCCACAACCAGGUUGGUACUGCACCACUUAUUUUGUUGUUUGAAAGGUCAAGAGAUUCUAAGUUCUCUUGACUCUUUAAAAACUCUGGAAAUGUACUUAUAUUACAGGAUCUUAAAAUCAACGCCCACAGCAUUGGAAACGAAGAGUUUGCAUCACCAAAGGGAAAUUGUUUUGGGAAAUCAAUGGCAUUGAAAGAAAGGUCUAAAUCUAGAAGAGUGGUCUUCCACAACCAAUUAGGCACAAAACCAUGGAUUUGGUUGUUAGAAAGAUAUAGGGUAGUCAACUUGUCUUGUGUUUUGAUGAAUUCAGGAAAUUCUGUAAGGUUGCAAGAUCGUAGGCUAAGAUAAUAUAAUUGGGGAAAAGUAAAGUUUUUGUUGUUGCUUUCAAUUGAAAAGGAGGAGUUUGCAUCACCGAAAGGAAGCUCUUUAGAAAAAUUAAUGGCAUUGAAAGAAAGGUCUAAAUCUAGCAGAGUGGUCUUCCACAAUUUUGAUGAAUUCAGGAAAUUCUGUAAGGUUGCAAGAUCGUAGGCUAAGAUAAUCUAAUUGGGGAAUAGUAAAGCUUUUGUUGUUGCUUUCAAUUGAAAAGGAGGAGUUUGCUAAUUGGUUGUUAGAAAGAUCUAGAUAAGCCAACUUGCCUUGUGUUUUGAUGAAUUCUGGAAAUCCAGUAAGGUUGCACGACACUAGGUAUAACUCCUCCAAUUGGGGAAAUAUAAGGCUUUUGUUGUCGCUCCCAAUUAACAAGCUCAUAUUGGAUAGAUCGAGAGACCGUAAGUUCUUGAGUUGAAAGAACAUGUCAAGCUUCAUAGAACCAAAGUUGUUAUAGCCAAUAUAAAGUGAUUCAAGCCGUGGGAGUUGAAGGAUUGAGUUAGGAAUGGAUCCCCUUAAAUGAUUAUAGCCCAAAUUGAGAAUUGCAAGAUUUGGAACUCCAGAUCUAUGAAAUGGAGGGAUUAAACCAUUGAAACCAUUAUCUGAUAGAUCCAAUUCCACAAGAUUAGUAAGAUUUGCAACCGAUGAUGGAAUGGGUCCAAAGAAAGAGCAAUUAACAAGAUCUAAUUUUGUCAAUAACCUAAGAUUACCAAUUGAUUUUGGUAAUUCUCCACUGAAUUCUGUCCUGGAAAGUGACAAGACAUGUAAAUUGUUGUUGAUCGAAAUUCUGGCAAAUGACCCAUGAGAUUUUCAUUUUCUGAAAUAUCAAUGCUUUGCAUUUUGGGCAAUGAGAAAACUUCAGUUGGAAAAUGCCCACACAAAUUGCAAUCCCUUAGACUGAGAGAAACCAAUCGUCGAGAGGAAAUUUCCAAGAAAUUGGAGGCAAAUAAGAGACUGGAUUAUUGUCAAGGUUAAGUUUGGACAAAAAAUGGAGUCUGGAGAAGGAAGAACAAAGUGGACCUGUCAAACGACAGGAUGACAUGCUUAACACACGUAAAUUUGGAAGUGCUGACGAUAUGAUCUCACACCAUUUUGUACUUUGAGUUGAAAUGUUCACACCAUCCAAAUGGAGCUCUUCGAGAAACAUCAAAUUCUUGACUAAUGAGUUGAAAUUUGGUUUCUCUAACUUUAGAAUAGGAUAAUAAUCAUCAUCAUGAAUCAACACUUUGAUAAUUUCUCCAAUAGCAAUAAUCUUGAUUAGAUAAAUCAAGAGACACUAACCUUGUUAAGUGUGAGACUGCCAUUGGAAUUUGAUCAUGGAAACAUGAGUCUGAGAGAUUUAAAUGAGUCAAAUUUGGAAGUCCUCCAAACUCAUAGGGAUACAAAGUGGUAUUAAAAUUGUUUCCAGCAAGAUUAAGAUUUUGAAGAUGAUGGAGAUUGAAAAUGGAAUGAAAGCUUCCUGAAAGGUUUUUGUAAUUAAGAUCGAGGCCAAUAACAUAACCAAGACCAUCACACGUGACUCCUUUCCAAGAGCAAUAAUCUGUUUUGAGAUCCCAAAGCUCAAGUUUGGAAGAAAAAGUAAAAUUAGGAGAAAAGUAAAGAUGUUGCUGCAACUGAACCAGAGCAGAUCUUUGGUCAUCAAGGCGUUGGCUUUGGAUACUUGUUUUAGAUAGCACAACAGGUAUGAAGGAGCAUGAGAAGAGAAAGAAAGUAGGCAAAAAGAGUGAAAUUAGGAUACGAAGAGGGCUCAUGUUUUCUGUCUACAAAAAUGAAGGAAAGGUUGUGGAGUUUCAUAUUUCCAUACACCAUAUUUAUAGACUACUACAUCACAUUGUAUUAUAUAUCCUUAUCUGAUUAUUAAUUUUAUUAUAAAGUUAUAAAUACAAAAAAAUUAUAAUUAUAAUUAAAUAUUAUAUUCGUAUAAAAAAAUUAUUGAAUUAAAUCAAACAAAUAAAUUAAUAGAUGAACCAAUAGAUAAUUAAACAAAUUCAACAUAAAAUUAAAUCAAACUCACAAAAAAUAAAUAAGACUUAAUCUUUUGCUUUAAACUUAGUCUUGUCAUCAUAUAAAUAGUUGUCUUUUUCCUAAUUGUUACUUCAUAAUACUAAUAAUCUUAUAAGUUGCUGAAGUCUAAGUUAAUUCAAAACACAAAAAUAUAGCAAUAAAUUUCCUUUGUUAGCAAUUAAUAAAUAAUAUACUUAAAAUUUAUUGAAGAUUAAAUCAAAAGUACUAAGUUAAUAUCUGAUUUUCAUUGAAUUCAACUUUUGAAUAAAGAAAUGAGAUAAUAUAUUCUGAUGCAACAUUGCUAAAAAACUAAUAAAUUGAUAAAUUAAUAUAAAAUUAGACAAAACAUACACAGAGAGAUUAAGAGAAACCAGAUUAAUGUUUUUUAUUCAAUCCUCCAAUAGGUAUACAAGUUCUCAACUUCAACCCAAAGAGUACUUCUAAAUUAAAAAGAAUUAAAAAAAUUUGUUAAGUUUCUUGCUGGUUGAUAAGGAUUGGAGAUAAGGUCGAAGGAAUAAGACACAAAAAAGUUAGCACAAAGAGUGGAAAUUUUGAUGAUAAAUUAUGGGUAUUCUUGACUUUUAACACAAUUUGAAGCAACAUCAUUGAAGAAAUAGGAUAUCUAAAUUUGGUCUUCCAAGCUUCUUUGAAAAUAAUUAAUGUGAUCUAUAAGUAUGUCUCUUAAAAUUGGUGACUUUUCAAUUCUUUAGGAAAACUCCUUGCAAUUUCAAAUUUCUUUUUCUUCUCAAAGUAUCAUAAACCAAUUGAAACGCAAAAAGAUUAAAAAAUCUUGAACCAAACAAAAUUUAAAAAAAAAAAAACAUUAAUAAUUUUAUUUAUAAGAUCAAAUUGUUUGGCACAAAAAAUCCAACCAAUUAAUAAAUUAUUCAAAUAAACAUAAGCAUACUCAAAUCAUAAAUCAUCGCCCAUAAAAAAAUAAUAAUUUAACAUGAUUCGAUACUUAACUUAUCUACAUCUAUCAAUAAAAGAAAAGAUCUACUAAAUAUAGAGAAUUAUAAAUAUACGAUUAAAUCAAUCAACACUUACAAUAAAUAUCUAUAUACCCUCUUAUUCUUCUUUAAUUCUAAGAAUUAUACUAAAUCCAAACUAUAAAUAUUCACACACCCAUGAUCUUUUCAUUCUCCUCUAAUUAUAUUAAGUGUAAUCAAUCAAACAUUAGCACCCAAUAGUACUGCUAUUAUUUUCUUCUGGUACUAUGAAGUAUAAUCAAUUAUAUAUGCAUACCCAUGAGUACUCUCCCUUGGCCCCAUGAAGUGCUUAUCUUGGAAAAUAUUAUAAUUUUUUUUUAUAUAUUUUUUUAUACUAACCUUGUUAAGACUCACACAAUAUAUAAUAUUUCUAACUUAAUCACAAAAAAUUCCUUUACUCUUAAAAUUUUUGUCUUUCAAUUUUUUUCUUUCAAAUAACAUAUAGUUAAUCUUAAAAAAUUCUCAAACAAAUCUCUUAUUAAAUUUUUUUAAUGUUUAAGUCAAUAUUCUCGAUACAAAUACCCUUAUAAUUUGUAUGUGUAUAAUCUUAAAAUUGAACAAACCUUUUAACCAAAAAAAAAAAAAAAGAAGAAACAAAUGAGAUUACAUAGUUUUCUAAAAAAUCCCUAAACAUCCUAAAAUAAUUAAAUCCUCAGAAUGUAAAAUAAUUCAAUCAUCUUAAAUAAUUAACAAUUAAUUUUCUAAUGAAAAAUUAGCAAUUAAUUAUUUUCAUGUAUCUCAACUACAACCACAAAUCAUUUUGUGGAAGUUUAUAUAUAAAACUUGAGAAAGCACAUUGAAAGAGCGUAGAUAUUGAUGGUAGUAAUUAAUUUAACUUGUUGACUAAGUUAUUAUAUAUAACUAAAUUUUCAGAUUUUGAAAAAGAUAGGAUGAAAGAAAAACUUGAGAAUUUAGAAAGUAUUUUUGUUUUCAAAGUCCUUGAACCAAUUGACACGGUAGAACUAAAACCUUGAAGAUUUAAAAAUUGCUCAUUUUUCGAAGUCCUUAAACCUAUUGAAACAAUAGAAAAAGAAUUAGAGAAUUUUCUUAGAAUCCGAGAAAAUUCUUUUAUUAUACCAAAUUCAUAAUAUUUUGUCUUAGUCAUGUCAUUCAAAGGGAAAAAAUUAGCAAUAUCAAAAGAACCCAUUUUGCAUUUUUUUUUUAUCAAUUAUGAACUUUGCAUAAGAUAUGCUAUGUAGAAACUCUCCAAUCUUCCUUUUUUUUUUUUUAAUGCUUUUGAUUUUAUAGGUUUGGAAUAAGUCCCAAAAAAAAUUAAAAAUACAGUUGCUAUAAAAGAUAUAAUUAAAUUAAAUUUAGUUUUAUAUUUAAAUCUAAUGGAAUUGCAAAUACCAAUUAUCAAUAAAAAAAAAAGAAAAAACUAAUUGACUAGGAAUUUAGGUUCUGAUAUGAAAAAUUACAAUUAUAAUUAAAUAGUAUUUUGGUAUAAAAAUUUACUAAAUUAAGUCAAUAAAUUGAAACGAAUUAAAAACAAAAAAUUGCAAGUUUCUUGUUGGUUGAGAUGGAAUGGACAUCAGGCAGAAGGAAUAAGACAAAAAACUAAAAAUUUUGAGGAUAAAUUAUGAGAAUUAUUGACUUUUAACAUAAUUUAAGACAACAUCAUUGAAGAAAAAAAAUCUAAAUUUUGAAUUCCAAACUUCCUUGAAACCAAUUGGAGUGAUCUAACGAAAUGUCUUAUAAAAUUGACAACUUUUUAAUUCUUUAGGAAAACUCCUCGUAAUUCCAAAUUUCUUUUUCUUUUCAAAGUUUUGUAAACCAAUUGAAACGCAAAGAGAUUAAAAAAUCAAGGCUCAAACGAAAUUUUAAAAAAUUAAAAAUUUUAUUCAUAAGAUCAAGUUGUUAGGCAUAAAAAUACAAUCAAUUAAUAAAUUAUUCAAGCAAGCAUAAGUAUGCUCAAACCAUAAAUCAUCAUUCAUAUAAACUAUAAUAAUUUAAUGUGAUUUGACACUUAACUUGUCCACAUACAUCCAUAGACUAAAGAAAAACUUGUCCAUAUCCAUAAAUAAAAGAAAAAUCUAUUAGAUGUAGAGAUUUACAAAUAUAUAAUUAAAUCAACUAAUACUCAUAAUCAAUACCUAUAGACUUUCUUAUUCUCCUUUAAUCUUAUGAAUUCUCAACCCAAAUAAUAAACAUUCACACACACCUAUAGAUCUUUUUAUUCUACUAUAGUCUUAUGAAAUGUAAUCAUUUAAACAUGUGCAUCCAUUAGUACUCCUAUUAUUCUCCCCUAGUCUUAUGAAACAUAAUCAAUUAAAUAUGCACACCCAUGAGUAUUCUCCCAUAGCCUCAUGAAUUAUUUAUCCGGUAAAACUCCUUCAACUCUUUUAUAUUUUUUUAUCCGAUCAAAAAUUCCUAAACAUCUUAAAAUAAUUAAAUCACAAGAAUGUAUAAUAAUUCAAUCAUCUUAAAUAAUUAACAAUUAAUUUUUUAAUAAAAAAUUAGUAAUUAACUAUUUUCAUGUAUCUCAGCUACAGCCACAAAUUAUUUUGUGGAGGUUUAUUUAUAAGACUUGAGAAAACACAUUGAAAGAGUAUAGAUGUUGAUGGUAGUAAUUAAUUUAACUUGUUGACUAAGUAAUUAUAGAUAAUUAAAUUUCCAAUUUUUGAAAAGAAUAGGAUGAAGGAAAAACUUGAGAAUUUGAAAAUUGCUUUUGUUUUCAAAGUCUUUGAACCAAUUGAUAUCGCAAAAAUAAAACCUUGAGGAUUUAAAAAUUGUCUUUUUUUCAAAGUCUUUGAACUAAUUGAAAUGAUAGAGAAAAAAAUUAGAGAAUUUUCUUAUAAUUUGAGAAAAAUUUUUUUAUUAUACCAAAAUCAUAAUAUUUUGUCGUAAUCAUGUCAUUUAAUGGGAAAAAAUAGCACUAACAAAGGAACCCAUUUUUUUUUUUUUUUUUUUGCUUAAUUAUGAACUUUGCAUAAGAUAUGUUAGAUAGAAACUGUCUAAUUUUCCUUUUUCUUUAACGCUUUCGAUUUCAUAAUUUUGGAAUAAGUCACAAAAAAAAUUAAAAAAAAACAGUUGCUAUCAAAGAUAUAAUUCAAUUAAAAUUAGUAUUUUAUUUAAAUCCAAUGGAAUUGUAAAUGCGAAUUAUCAAUUAAAAAAAAAAGAAAAAUAAUAAUGGACUAGGAAUUUCAGUUUUGUUAUGGAAAAAAUAAUUGACUAGAGAUACCAAUUAUCAAUAAAAAAGAUAAUUGCAUAGGAAAAUUUUCAAUUUUCAUUUAUUUCACAUGUUGGGUGUUUACACCUUAUGGAAAAAUUAAUUUUAUUUUUUUUUGGAAUAAAUUAAUUUAGAUUUCAAUCAACGCUCUACCUAAGAUUAUAAAACCAAAUUCUCAGCGUCAACCCUACAACAUUGCAAGUAUCUUAUAUACAAGCUUUUUGAUGAGACAGACGGCUGAACAUGAUAAGGAAAGAAUAAGAGAUGAGAAAGCAAUUGGCAUUAUGGAAUUCUUGACUUUCAACACAAUUUUGGCACAACAUCUUGAAGGAAAAAAAUCUAAUUCAACUGAAAUCAAGAUGAAAUAAUAAGGUAGAGACAUGCUAAUGGAUAUAUUCGAGAUGUCUUAUAAAUUAAAAUGCAUAUUGUCGACUUUUUUAUUCCUUAAAAAAAGUAAUUCUAAUUCUAAAAGUUUUUCUUUCUAAAGUUUUUUAAAUCUAGAAGUGAAAAAUGGACGAAUUUAAGUAGGAUUGGAUUGGAUUUUUUUUAUUCGGAUAAUUUGGAUUCAAUUUUUCUUUAAAUUCGGAUUAUCUUAAGUUCAAACAUUUUCAAAAACAUACUAGAUUUUUACUAUUCUAUUCUAUCCAAAACUCUUUUCUUUAUUCCUUCCAUUCAAGAUUUCUGCAAAUUCUUCAUCUAAAAGUUUUUAUUUAUAUUUCUUUUUUAAAACUCUAUUUUUUCCCUUAAAUUUUCUUAUUCUUAUUUUCUUUUUACAAUAAUUUAUACAAUCAAGAAGAAUAAACAAUGGAUCAUUUUAGAAAAAAGAAGCCUUUUUUUUGUUUCUUUAAAGUAUGAGAUUUUUUUUAAAAAAAGUUUACAUUUCUUGAUUUUCAUGCAUAAUUUUUUUUAAUAUAUAUCAAUUUUAUUACUGCUACUCUAAACUCUAUUCUAUUAUGAUUAUAAAAAUUUUAAAUUGAAGUUUUCUUAUCAUUUUUUUUUAUUGAAUGGAAUUUAUUGGUCAUGAGUGCAUGUAUACAUGGAACCGUUAAAUGUUUAAGGAAUUGAUGAAUGGCUUACAAUAUGUCGAACUUUUCUCGAUUCAAUUUCCUAAAUCACAUUUUUGUCUUUAAUUUCAAAUUUCUUUAUUCUUUUGAUGGGCUUCACUAUUAAAUUUCAAUUACACUUUAUCUUAUCACUAUUAAAUAUCACUAUUAAAUAUUUGUUACAUUUGAAUUUUAUGUAAACCUUUUUUUUUUAUAUAUAUAACAAAAUUAUCUUUUUUACCAAUUAAGCAAUCAACUUUAUGAAAAGAAUUUAAUUAAAAUUUUCAAUGCCUUAAUGGUUUAAUUUAAUGGUGGUCUAACAUUGUACACUUAACAAAAGCUAUAGGAUAUUGUUGUGUUAUAGAUAGCAUUGACUCUGCUAUAUAUAUUUGUUUUUCUUUCUCUUUUCUAGAAAAUUUUGCGUUUAAAGUCUGUCCAUUAUCUAAUUGUAUUACAACCACCAAUGCAGUAAAUAAUUAUCAAAUAUCAAAACCAAAGACGGGAAAAAGAAGCAAACAAACACACAAUAUACUUUAAAACCUAUAAUCUAAACCAUACAGAAAGGAAUCCUUUUGACCAUGCAUCUCCUGCCAGCCUUAUUUCCUAUUAAUAAAUAACUAUAAAAAACUUAAAUUUAUAAUGAUUGUUAUUAUAAAUUCAAAAAAUUAAAAAUCAAUACAAAUAUAUAUAUGGUAAGAAAUUUUGAUUGAAAAAAAAUGCAUUUAAAAAAUGUGGUAAGAAAAAAAUUUUAAAAUCUAUUCACGAUAUUGAAAUUUGAGCUUACCAUGCGAUAUGAGCUGCAUCAUAGUCACUUAUCGGAGGCAUGAUCGGACUGAAGUUCUAAGCACAUCUGUUCUAAAAGUAACUUUUUAACAUCAUCCACAGAAGUUGACAAAUUUUGUCGAAUGUGCUUGUCCAAGGAAUUUGCCAUUCCCUAAUGAAUGAAAUUAAGAAAAAAGAAAGAAAUUGAGUAAAUAUGGAAUUCAUCAAACUCAUAAGAGCAAAAACAGAAGCAGGAAAGCUGAAAAAUCUUUUCUCAUCUUAUGAUAAAUGGUAUCGGUAAAGGCAAUUUCACCGUUCAAAACAAUUUCUUUAGGACGUUAACAAAUUAGAAGGGAAAGAACCUAUGACCACAACAACUUACUGACAUCCAAGCUGAUUAAAAUAAGUCAAGCAUGAUCGCAGACCGAUAGACCAUAGAUUUCGUAACUGCUUCAACUUUUGAUUUCUUCUCAAUCAUUUAACAGACAAGAUAGUGGAAAAUCUUUGUCAAGAUAUCACUCAAAGCACAAAAUUAUCAAUGAUGGAAAACUAAAACUUCUAAGGCUAAUCAAAAUCCCAAGUUAAACCUCCUUUCUCACGCCAAAUAAUGACUACUUUUCUUCUUUUAUAACCAAGCCUAAAUUGCAAACUAAUUGAAGUUGCUGCAUGAAUCAUUUUUACUAUUCUGUGCAGUAGCCUCUGAAAAGGCAAAGAAAAAGAAGAAAUUUUACUGAAAUAUGUAUUUAAGUUAGACUCUGGUUUUAACUAAGGGAAUGUUUCGAGGAGAUAAAAGUUCUAAGGCAAAAAGCAAAAAGAAAAAAGAUUGAACAAUAAUAAUAUGAAAUAAAUGCCACUUACCUCAACCUUGCAAAGUAAGCUCAAUGAAAUUCCCCUUGAAUGAUGAUCUGAGCUCUUGACAGAUAACAAUUUCAAUGCAGAUUUUGGCAGCAUCCAACCUUGAGACACCUUUAUAAAUGCAUCAAUGCCCCCGACCAUGUGAGCAAUGAUGGUCUCAUCUCUCUCUGAGUACUCAAAGGAAUGCCUGCAUUAGGUACUAUUCAAAUGUAAAAAGCUUCUCCUUUUGCAAUUUCUUUCAACUUUCCCCCAUUUUUGGUGGGUGAACAGAAAUUUAAAAAAACUUAUAUGACAAAGGAAAUGAAGUGCACAAUUGACCAGCUACUUUAAACCUCUUGAAAUUAUUAUAUCAACACUGUGAACACUUUACCUAUAUGAGUCUCACCUUGAUUUAUUUGUACUCUUCACUAUAAAUCGUCUCAAAGUACUUACGAUAAUCCUAUCCUGCACUUUUCCCACAAGCCACUCUAGUGAAGACCAUGUCUCCUGUGCCAUUAAGUUAGAGGAUAGCUGCCUGCAACAUCACAAUAGAUUAUAUACCCUAAAUAAGGAAUUCAAUCAAGGUCUACCUUUGUCAAACUGGAUAAAAAAAAUGAUUCAUGACAACUGUCAGGUUUAAUUAAGCUACUUGCCAUCUCGACAUGGUGGGUUGAUUAAGUUCCAAGAAAAUGUGAAUUUAUAUAAAUAAUAAAUGUAUAUAAAACAAUUACUGCAAACAUCUCAGUAAAAGGUGGCAAAAACUACAUAUUAUGAGCAGUACUUUUAGCACAAAAACAACAAGGAUAAUUAAAGCUUAUUCUUAAGGGUGACAGCCUGGGAAAACAGGAUCUGCCAUGAAGGGAAAGAAUAUAGGAAAUUAAAGGUUCAAAUGAGCCAAAAGAAGGACAAAUAGGUUGCUGUUCUAGUUGAAAAAACUGCCUUUCAAUAAAAACUUUGACUGAAAGUCUGAAUGAAGAACUUUGGUUUUUAAUAGAUGAAUCAAUAUGAUGGGACCAUAAUUUGAUAAUACCCUCUAAAUGACGGAUAAGUUGAUGUAUAAAAGAGGGUUGAAAGGUUUUAUAUAGGGUGGAUAGCAGCAAGGUUGAGAAAAGAGAUGCAAGUAAUUUUAGGUUUGCAAGCGCCUAAGACAUUCAAAAUUGAAAGAAGAAAGGAGAUAGACCUUCAGAGGACUUCUUCUUUUUAAGAAAUCACACUUAUGAUUCAAUCUAUUGUUCUAUAUAAAAACUGACAAAUUACAUUCCCUUUAAUGGCCUUCUGCUACUAUACAUGCACACAUCUGCAAAAAUACACAUGAUAAAUUCGGAUUCAACCUUGAAGUCAGAAAAACUGAAAAACCAAACCUGAAAGACUUUGCAGCAUCAAUUAUAUCAUCUAUGUAAACAUCAUUUGGGAACAUCUGGACAACAUGAUACAUGAACAAGCAUUUCAAAACAAUUGAACAAAAAGACAUGAAGAACCAAUAUGAUUCUUCUUUUGCAAGCAAGCACAGGUUUUCUAAUGCCUGUUUAACUUGAGCCCAAAAAAAAAAAAAAAGACACGGCAUGAAACUAAUGAAUGAAAAAAUUAUCAUCCAAAAAGAAAUAUAUGAUAGUAACUUUUGUGAAAAUGGUUUUGACACCAAAUUGUUUUUUUCUUUUUCCAGUUUGAUAGGCAUCAAAUGGGAAAGAAACUGAAUUUUUGGGCAAUCUUAAAACCAGUUUUUUCCUUUUCAGUUGACUUCACAUUAUUACAUCAGAGAGAUUAGUUACUUGUCAAGUAUGAUUAUUUAUCCAUUGACUAUCAAAAGUUUAAUUUCUUUCUUUAUGAGAACAGAGAUAAAGAAAAGAACAACAGAUUAUUUCAAGUUUUUCACAAAAAAACAAUUAGUCAUACCUCAACAUUCUUAACCUCCAUGGUUCCAUCCAUAAUCUCUACUAGCAAUUCAUGAUUCAUUUCAGAUGGCUCAGCAAUAUCUUCAAUCAUCGUUUGGAACAAUUCACCCUCUACUUUUGGAAUAUAAAUCUGUAAUGACAGCCUAAUGCAGUUUCCAUCAAACCAAAUGACUUUCAAACCAGUCAAUGCAUCUUCAAUCUGUUCUAUGGUAUCUAAUCUGAAAAUAAAAGAAAAAGAAAAGAACACAGUAAGCAAAAGGGUAAUGAUAUAGAACACAUAUAACCAAAGCAAAAAUAAGUGAACAAUCUUUUAAACAUAGAAUCAAGAUCUUGCAAAGACUUGAAAAUUAAAUUGUUCUUCUCAAUCUGACUUUCUAGUUCCAAAAUCUGAAAAGCAUAAAUAGAAGAAUAUUGGAUGUUUAAUGAAGUAAAAUAUGUAGUGUCAUUUACAACUCAAAGAAUUUAAUAUACAUUAUUAGCACAUAUACAUAAUUAAUAUCCUAAUUGAAUAUAUCAAAUAUCUAGAUCAUUAUAAAAAAGCUAGAACUUAGUCAUCAAAGAAAAGAGAUUCUUAUAAACAUGAUUAUAAAGCCAAAAACCUAUGGCACAAUUAUUAAAGUUCAGCAUCAGCUUGAAUCUAAUGCAGUAUUCAAGAAGCAAGCGAGAAGAAACAAAAGCACCCCAAACUUUUUCUCUUCAUUUGCAUCCAUCAAAUUCAAUUGAUUUUUAUAGCAGGGGUCCUCUUCUACUGUCUCCAGACCCUACAACUCAAAAUGUCAAAAGGCUAACUGUUAAAUUUGACUUCCAAAUUGAUUUCAAACUGAAUACCUUUCAAGCCAUCAAGAUUGCUUCACAAAAUGAAAUAACAUAGAGAAACCAACCUGAAGAUGCAAUAGAAUCCAAUGCACACCUCAAGCCCUCAAGAUUGCCUUCCAGUAUAUUUGUUUCUGUAAAAAUAGAAGUCAAACGUAAAUCAGCAGAAGAAAAAGCAUUUAAGAGUAAUUACAUGUGAAAAUCAAACCUAAGUCGAUGAAGCCUCACCUUCAAUAUGAUUUCUUGAAAGAUCCUCAAUUUCCUUAGAAAUCUUGGUACUUUCAGCCUCUACUUGAUUAAGCUCCUCUUUUAAGUGUGCUAAGUGUUUAUCUGUAUGAAUAAUUAAAAAAACACCAAUCUAGAAUCAGCACAACAUUGCAUUGCAGGCAUACAGAUGUUUUCCUAUGAUGUGCUAGGCAUUCAAGUGUGCUAGAUAUUCAUCUUUUAGUUUCCUAUGAUGAGUCACUUUAUAAAAUACUUGCAUUUCAGGCAAUCACAAUUAGAAGAAUAAAACAUUAAACAUGUUAUCCGAAAGAGCAUCAAAAACUUUGAAUGGAUCCUAAACUAUCCAAUUCCCUUCCGUAUCAGAAACCCUUUCAUUAUCUAAAAACCCUUUUAAACUCCAUAUUCCACAAAACCCAGAGAUUUUUCACCAAAAAGAAAAAAAAAUCCAACUUUGUUACUAAAACUUAGUAACCAUAACAUACAAUCCGAUUAAAGACAAAAACAAGCAAAAGAGGCAGUUACUUAAUACAAUACCCACUUUAAGUUCAAUUGUACAUGUAUAUGUGCAAUUGAUUUUAAUAAAAAUUAACCACAAAAAUCUAAAAGAUUAAAGGAAACAUACUUAAAUCUUCAAUUCCUAAGAAACCCACUUCAGAAUACUCUUCAACAAUUUGCUUCACUUUACUCCGCAUAAACACACUCUUAAGUCUUAAUUCAAAAAAAAAAAACAAAAAUGAAACAAAAUAUUAAAAAAUAAUAUUGAGAAUCACCUCGAAGUGAGAAGUGCAAUCUGAGCACCUUCUCGGAAUUCGAAGAGAGAGCUUCACUCUCAACCUCAUUUUUAUUGCUACUAUGAAUCUCCGAGAGCUCUUUUAUUUGGCUCAAAACAGGAGAAAAAAUUAAAAUUAACAAAAAAAGAUUUUAUAUAGAAAGGAGCAAAUUACUUCACAGUAUUAAAAAGAGAGAAAAAAACCCGCGAAGAUUGAGAGGUUGUAAUGAAGAAGAAAUCUCCGUGGGCUCUGCCAUGGUUUUUGUGUGUUUAAAUGAAUCUAAUCUCCCGCCUGUUUGAAGGUUGGUUAAGUAGCUGAGUUGCUGGCAAGAGGAGGAAAUAUGUUAAAAUUCAAAGGGGAAAGUUGAGGAUAUUUAUUUGUUUCGAGUGGAAAUGCUGGGAUUGGGCCCACUUUGGAACCAAGAAGUGGGCCCUCUUUUCAAGUCGACAAUUCUAAAGAAUCGUUCAUGAGAAAAAAAAAGUAUUAUUCUCAACUUUUAAAAUAAAAAGGUGGCAGAAAAGAAAAUUAAAAGUAUCCUUUUGAUUUUGGUUAAAAUAUUAAAAAAACACAUGAAUUAUUUUAAUUUUUAAAUAAAAUUUUAUUUUUUUAAUUUAUAUCUAAAUAAUUCUUUAUUUUAAAUGAAAGAUUAAUUUAUAUUAAAGAUUUAUUUAGAUAUAAAUUAAAAGUUAAAUAUUUAUUUGCAUGUAAUAAAAAUAUAAAAAUUUAUCUAAUUGAAAUAAAUGACAAAAUUCAGAGUUUCUUUAUUGUUUUAGCCUAAUAAUAAGUGCAUAUACUCUCUUAAAAAUUCUAAUUUAAUAAUCUUUUUCUAAUUGAAAAUAAUAUAAAAAUUUAUGAACUUUUUAAUGUGAUGAAAAAUUCAUUAAUAAAUAUAUAAAAGCAAGAAAUGGAAAAACUAAGAAUUUAUGUUUAAUUUUUCUCACCUUUUUUAUUUUAUUAGUUGAAUUAAGCUCGAAUUGCUUUCACUUUGAUCAAUUAAUUAGUCUAAAAAUAGAAGUAAUAUUCAUUUGUGAGAAUUUUAAACUCUAAUAACUAUUCUUUGGUGCUAUUAUGAAAAAUUUUAAAACAUUUCAAUCAUCAAAUAUUACCGUCACAAAACAGAGAAACUCAAAUUAAACUUUACUAUAUUUUUAUCAUAUACAAUAUUAAUAAUUUGUCUAUCUCAUUUUUAAUCCAAAAAUUACAUAUCAUCAUAAAUUCAUGUUUAUAUAAAAAAUACAAAAUAUAUUUUUUAUUUUAAUUAAAUUCAUUUAUAAUUUUUAUUAAAAUUUUAAAUCGUAUCUUUUUCAUAUAUUUUUUAUAUCAUAUUCAUAUAUUAUUUGCUAGUAUUUUUCAUAUACUUUAUAUAAUUUCAUCAUAUUGUGUUUUAAGUUAUUAGCUAAGUAUAAACUUUUUUAUUGUUAUGAUAAUAAUUAGGGGAGCCCCUGGAUCUGCCCUUUAUGGCUUUGAGCCAAGCUCCGGGCUCUGGCUGGUUUUGAAAACUUAGCAACUAUUCAAGGAGUAAAAGGAAGAGAAAUCAUUUCCAUACCACUUAGAAUGGGAUUUAUAAACAGAACAGGGCAAUCGUCUCAGUGAAUCAAUUAAGUUGACCAAAUGGAAAGGCUGCCAAAACUCAUAGUCAACAAUGGUAUGAUUUACAGGUUGACCACUAUUACACAUUGAAGAGUCUGUAUUUCGAAUUCGAGCAUCUGACCAUAACACUUAAAUGUAUGCAUCUUAAAUGAAUGCAAAACGAUGCAUGAUAGAAAAUGUAAGAAGUAGAGCACAACCUAACUGGAGAUGCAGUAUACAUACUGUCUAAAGAAAACAGCCAAAAUCCACUCGGACCUUUCUCGGCAUGUAAUGCAAUCUUCAAUGGUCCGGUUUCAAUGUCAAACACUCCAAAUCUGCAAAAGCUUGCACCCAAGCUAUCCUAUUUUAAACAGCUAAGCUUCUUCGCUGCAUCAGUGAUGCUCUGGCUUAUUCGGGAUGUUUGGACUCGAGCAAUUUCUCAAGUCUAAGGGUUGCUUCAGGUAUGCAAUCCUCCUUGAUGUAAGACUCCGAACAAAGACCGAAAUUUUCUAGGUUGACCUCUUCGUCGAGUUGAAGGCAAAAUAAGUGGCUAAAGACCUGAAAGGUGAGCAUAACAUUACAAACUGCCAAUCAGAUUUACGUGAAUAUGUGCUAUAUAAAUUUAAUAAUCAUGGAAGAAUGCAAAAAUUGUUAAUGCUAAGAAUUACUAUUAGUUUUCUAAAUUCCUAAAUCCUCUUCAUAAGUUUCCCUAGUUAAAAAAAUCACGACAAAAAUCAAACAAUCAAUAACAUCUUAGCAGGCUAUAGCAAUUUUUGGCCAGGACUGUAUAACUAGUAAUAAGCCUUUAAAAUAUAUUUGUAUUACAUUUAUAGAGAGUGAGAAUAAGCUAUAAAACAAUCAAUAAACUUUGAUUAAUGACAAUAUUUAUGAAGUUGUUUAUUCUCACCUCUUUCAUCCUUGAAACAACUGCGUCCUUAAUGGCAGGAGACCUUGAGACCAAAUUAAUAACAGAGACCUUGCUCAGAAAGGGUAUCUUUUACAUUUUGGAGAAAAGACUUCCACAAAAUCAGCAGCAGGACAGGUCAUUCCAGAGCUAUAAAGACAAUAUAACAGAGAUGAUUAAAAAUAUUAAAAGACCUCCAGCGUUUCAAUGACAAUUGUUGCGACUGUUAAUAGCUCCAUUCACCUUGAGUCUGAAGAGUUCACAUCAACAAUAAGUAUGUCAAUAGCAGUACUUCUUCGGCUUCCUGCAUCUGAAAAAUUGCAACUUCCAUUGGAAGAAAGGAGCAUUUCAUUGCUUGAAGCAUUCUUGUUUUUGUGAAGAGGCACAUCCCCUGUUGCAGAUAAGUUUCUGUAGUCCAGAACAAAUUCGAUGCCAUCGGCGACAUGUAGCUGAAAACUAUUGGAAAGCCUAAUGUUUUUAAAGCUCUAUAAAAAAAAGAAUAUUAUAUCUGCCAUCUUAAAGUUAUUUACAUUUACAUAAGCAUUCUUGAAAAGGUGAAACAAAAAAAUUAUUUUCCUAUUUUAUUCACUCUAUCUGCUCCAACUUUUAUUAUUAUACCCAAGCCAUCAAGAAGAUUAUCAACGGAAUAGAGCCUUGAUGUCUUGAGCAAAAUGAACCAAGAGCCAAACCAUGAAAUUAAUAUAUAGUAACAAAUUAUACAGAUAUGUAAUUAGAAUAAUAAUUACAGACAGGUAAUUAUAAGCCUCAGUUGAGUAUAGAGCUAACAAAAAGUACUCGGAGCAUAAAACAGGGUGAUGCACUGAGGUAAAGUCAGUUACCUUCAAACGUUUAUCUUCAGUAAAACCAAAGUGGUCACUUGCAAGGUUAACCAUAGUAGGAUCUAGCUCCACUGCCUGAGGAUAAAAAUUUCAUUGCACGAUUUCCAUAAAGUAAAACCAACUUCAAAAACAAUGAGAAGAGUCAUUAAAUUUAAAAAAAAAAACAAUUCCUUUUGAAAACCAGCUUGGCAGAUUUUUAAGGGGGUAAAGUAAAAAUUACCUUAAUUUGCAUAAAUUACAUAUAUCCAUGAAGAAACAUAGGAAGUAAACCCGCACCAAGACCUAUCACAACUGCUUUAACCUGAGACAGAUGAUUUUUAACAUGAGCAGCACAUCACAAACAAACGCAUCAAUGAUUUCAGAGAAAAGGUCAAUCACACGGCCUUUGCCUAUUGAGACUAAAACAUUGUGCACCAAUGCUUAGACCUCCAAAUUUGAAAGUUGGCUAAAGUUGGUCCAUGUCUGACACACAGAAGAAUGACCCGCAGUUCAGAAAGAAUGUUCAUUUCUUCAUCAAUGUAAACCGAAUGAUCACCAAAAUAUACUUUAAUCAAGCAACCAUGAAUUUUUAAUAUACAAUGAAGACAUCAAAACCAGGCAAUUACAGAUAUCUAAAGAGUUGGAGGGCAAAAAUCUAUCAAAUAUUCCACAAGGGAAAGAGUAUAAGCCAUAUUUUAUUCCCAGCUGAUGCCUUUCCAAAUAGGAUGAAAUCAGUGAAAACCUAGAAAUGAUCCCUGUAUGAUAAGAACUAGCCAAAUAACCAUGAUACACCUUCAUCUCGCUGCUUGAUUCUAUAUAUUAAGAAAAAAUCAGAAACAAGCUGUUUAAAAGAAGCUUUUUUGGAUGGAGUACAGUAAUUAAACAAUUAAAAAAGGCAAUAAGCAGAAUCUUAGAUGGAAGGUAAUUUCAGUAUUUUGAAGACAUGUUGCUCAAGGACUCAAAAGUGGAUCUGCUUCAACAGACGCUAACUAAUAAAGAGCACGUCCUCAGAAGUUUGCUAAUCCAAUGAUUUCUGUCCAAUUAUCUUAGAAAUAGCACCAUAUUUCUCUCCCUUUACCAAUAAUAAUACAACAAAACAGACAUUAGCGCCAUUCAAAUGCACAGGAAUCAUAUAAAACUUAUAACAAAAGCAAGAAAAAACCGUCUAACAACAGAGGUCUAAGACAUUAAUAAAUUCAAAAGAACAGCAUAAAGGCAUGAGAUAAGAGUCAGCAGGACCAUAGUCUUCCAGUUUAGUAUUAAACAUUUUGCCAUCACUCUGUUUCCAAUAAACAAAUUUGUAGUCAAAUCUCUGCCCCUGCAAUCUCUUUUCCUAUCCCAAAUUAUAGUCUCAAAGAAAUUAGUCAUAGAGACUAAGAAAAGGAAACAUAUAUAUGCACAAAUCAAAAGGACCAAAGCAUCCCAAAACGGAAAAUGCAAUCCACUUAUUACUCAACCUAACAUUUUGCAAAAUUAUGAUUGAAAUCUAGGUGUUAAGCUUUCUAGUAAAUGGUUUGAGUGUUGGAAUUAGAUUUAGACAAAAUGAUUGAAGAAAAGGAAAAGAGCUUAAAAAGAAAGGAAAACCUCAAUUCAAUUUCUUAAUUAUUAGUUUUGCUUCUUCUUUACAUUCAUCAACAUUCAAUUUGCUGAAUCCAAUAUCUGAUUGAAUAUCUCUCUACCUAUGUCAAUGAGGAGAUGGUGAACCAAACAGUGGCCAUAACUGGCUUCUCUCCGGAAAGUCAACUUUUUUUAUGUUUCCUUAAAACCCCAUCAAUUGUUUUCAACUUUCUGGUAAGUUUUCUUCUCUUAGGUGCUGUCCAUAGUAUCUUCAUCUUAAAAACAAGCAGUGGCCAUAUGUUGUAGGAUAGAAGACCUUUAACGAAAUAUGAAUUUGGUGCUGCCCAAAGCAUAGAAAUCAUUCCCUCAAGGGAUUUGGAGCCAUGGAAGUGAUGAUUUCUCACUUGUUGGAGGAGUUCAAAAUUUUCUGAAUUCACAAAAGAAGUUGGUGAAAUAACCAUCCUGGUUUAUAGCAUUGUUAGCAUCAAGUUCACUACUAGAGAUCAGACUACCCCAAAUGGCCAGUGAAUUGAAGCAUAGCAUGCUCAUCUUAUGUCUCCCAAUAUCUAUAAUUUCUUGAACGAAUCAUUCCUAUACGAUACUCUUAGCAACUUCAAGAUGAAUUCCUGUAUGAAAAAGCAUUUCCAGUACUUUCUGCAAGUACAUGGUAUAUUCAAAAUGAUAUUAGCUUCCAGUCGCCUGAAAAUUUAUGUUGUAAGUUCAAUGGCAUAAUGGUUGAAGUUUUUGAAAACAUUGUUACCUGCUGUAUGAUUUUGAAUACAUGCAUAUAUUAUAGUACGAAAGCAUGUUAUCUGUAUAUAACCAUUGUGAUCUUGAAUUACUUUUUGCAUAUUUAGUCAACUUAAUGCAUAAGCUCAGGUUUAAUUCACAACGUUCGUAGAGCACUCGAGACUGAUCCUUACCUCAAAUGUAUUUUGAUCAAAGAAGAGGACUGGCUACUAGAUGCCCGGGAGUUCAGUCCCUGCAACAAAGAUACAGUUAGAUAUGAGUGGAAAAGGGGAAAAUUUUUGGAUUUUGUACAAUGAUUUAAGAAUUAGAAUUAGUUGCUAUAUCAGAAUUCAGAGCAAUGCUUCCAAUAGAUGAGAUCAAUGUGCAUAUUUUAACAUCUAGUGAAGACCUAGGGAAUAAAUUAUCGAAAGGAUUUACUUGAAUGAUACAAAAGUGAGUUUAUGUAAGUUGCAUCACCACAAACAAGAAAGGCCCUUCCUUGCCUCCUGUAGGCAAUCUAUGCUGAUGCUCCAUACUAAGCGACCACCUUUGGUUUUAGACACCUGCUACAAAUUUCUGUUAUACUUUGGGUCAUUUUAGACAACGCAGUCUGUGUCCUCUCAUGCAAGGACAUGAAACUGAGGGGGAAAAGGUCAUUUACCUGUGAUUGCAAAUAAGAUGCAGUUGAAGCAGCAAUUUCAUAGCUAAUAAGUUACAGAUAAGUGGAAUAAGCCUCUAAAAAGUAUGUGUAACUGUAUUCUGGUGAUUGAUUCAUGCUUUCUUUCCGUGGAAUAUAGGUAGCAAACAGCAGCCUGCAGGCCCUUGUAUCUUCUCAAACCAUUGGCCUAAAAAUUAUAAGGAUGAAGUUACUCCAUUUCGGUAGAACAAUUAAUCAAGUUUUUCAUUUACAAAAACCUCAAUUCAUAAGAAGCUUUUAUCAUUUUCUUCAAAGCUAAAAUUAGUGACUUAAUCAAGACCACAUAACAAUUUAAGAAUGUUUUUCUUCAAAUUUAGACCAUCAAAAAGAUUCCGAUUCAUUCAUACCCUUUAAGCUGUUAAAAGUUGCUCUGAACUGCCCUCAUUUUUUUCUUAGUCAAGGUCUACUCUACAUUGACAUAAGCUUAGGAUUGCAACUAUAUAACAAUAGGGCUUACAACAAAACAUUUUUCUUUGUCUAUGUGCGAGUGUAAAAUUAUAGAAACAAGGAAUAAGGUUGUAUUAAAAUGAAGAAAAUGUUAGAGGAAAUUAUUAUGAACUACAAAAGGUUUGGGAAAACCUAUCAUGGGAAAUAGAGAUGCAUACCUGGAUUUCUGAUACAAAAUAAGCCAUUCCAGACGAGAAGGGCAAAAUGGUUUGGCUUCAAAGAAUGAUAAAUAGACCAGACACAUUAAAAGGCUUUUUAUAAUCAUAUCUCACUCCAUCUCCAUCAUGAUCAAGGACUUAAUCUCAAAUAAUCACAUUCUGUUUCCGUCUUUUCAGUGCAUUGGUAUAGCAUGUGUACAACUAAUUAAACAACAAAGGAUCUUUGCUUGAGCUUGGUCUUUUAAGAUUAUUUCAUUGUAAUACUAGUCACUAUUCAUUCUACAUGCCAUAUCUUGUUUCAGGUUCCUCCUGCACUGCAACAUUGUAACCGGAAAUUAUAAUUAUAACAGACUCAUUGAUAAUGAAUAUCACUAUUACAAGAACAAAUAUUAUAUGAUAGUAAACAUUGUCAAGAGAGAAAAAGGAUGUUAGGAAAUUUAAAGAAUAUCAUAAUUUGCAACAACAAUCUUUUCAAUUUAAAAAUAUUUUACAAGUUUCUAAAGAAAAUGUUUACCUGCUAUUUUGAAAGAUGAAUUGAAGCUAAGCAUGCUCUUCAUAUGUCUCCAAAUAUCUAUAAUUUCUUGAAUGAAUCGGUCAUAUACAUUACCAUUUACAACUUCAGGAUAAAUUCCUGUAUGAAUAAGAACUUCCAGCACUGCCUAAAAGAACACAAUACAUUCAAAAUGAUAUUAGCUUCCAGUCAUAAUAAAAGGUUUAGGAAAAACCUAUCAUAGGAAAUAGAGAAGCAUACCUGGAUUUUUUUAAACAAAAUUAGCCAUGCCAGGCAAGAAGGGCAAAAUGUUUUGUCUUCAAAGAAUGAUAAAUAGACCAGAUAUCUUGAAAAGGUUUUUAUAAUUAUAUCUCACUCCAUUUCCAUCUCCAUCAUGAUCAGGACUUAGUCUCAAACAAUCUCAUUUUGUCUUCAUCUUUUUUGGUUCAUUGAUACAGCAUGUAUGCGACUAAUUAAACAACAAAGGAUCUUUGCUCAAGCUUGGUCUUUUAAGAUUAUUUUGUUGUUAGACCUGUCUCUUUUCCUUUUAGAUGCCAUAUCUUGUUUCUGGUUCCUCCUGCACUACAACAUUAUAACACAAAAUUAUAACAGACUCGUUGAUAAUGAAUAUCACUGCUACAAGAACAAAUAUUACAAGAUACUGAACUUUGUCAAGGGAGAAAAAAAAAUAAGGCUACAAAAUUUAAAGAAUAUAAUAAUUUGCAGCAACUAUCUUUUCAAUUUAAAAAGAUUUCCCAAGUUUCUAAAAGGAAUGCUUACCAGCUAUUUUGAAACAUGAAUUUUGAUGCUUAUCUUCUUCCUUUUCCCUUUCUUUUUGAAUUUGUCUAGCCAUAUAUUUCCGAACUCAUUCAGCACUGUGUAUCCCAUACAUAAACCAAUGACCAAUCCACUACCAUAACCGAUCAAUGCAAUUUUCCAAACAGAUAUACCAUCUACCCAUGAAUCUACAUCUUUCUUUGGAAGGGGCACCAGAACACCAAAUUCAUUGCAUUUCCAUGACAAAGGCGGCCCGCAUAAUCUUGGAUUCCCUUUGUAAGAAUCAGUUGAAAAUGUAUUGAAUUGGUUGCUUUGUGGUAUGCUCCCUUCAAGUUGGUUGUAAGACAGGUUUAGUGCUUCCAGGAAAGUUAGACUUGUAAGUUGAGGAGGAAUCUUCCCGGAAAGUUUGUUCUGUGAGAGGUCCAAAGACUCAAGGUCUUUUAGGUUCCCAAGUGCUAAUGGAAUUUGGCCAGAGAAGCUAUUUUGGGAUAAGUUUAGCACCAUGAGUGAUUUGAGAAAUUGUAUUUUUUCUGGUAUUCUCCCACGGAAACUAUUGUUGGAAAGGUCAAGACAAGUAAAAAUGGUUAAGAUUUUCUUGUAAAAAAUUACAAUCCCUUUAUUAACAAUUGUCACAGAGUCUUGAUAGUACCGUUCU
rnacentral:lncRNA from 1 species